AGGAUUAGAUCUGCAUUACGUUCGUAAAUGUUGUACACUAUUCGCAUCCUGUUGGUAAAACACUGACAACAAAUUAUGUCCCUCGAAUGACUUCCAGAUUUAUAUGGAAAUCCAGCUUUCAACGCAGUUUUUUGAAGCCUAUUGUCAAGGUCCUCGAAGCGGUGUUAACAACCGUAGCGACCAUGUCGACGCUUCGACUAUGAAGAAAGUUGUCUCUGUAGAACCCAAAAAAUGGCAUUCUUCUCAGGUGGGUCCCGUGAUUUGUUGCAUCUUUCUCCAAAAAUCAAUUCAUUUCCAACCAAUUCAUCAUUAGUUACUAAUUCCAAAAUCUGCUUCAUGGAUGGUGGCCGAGAACAUCGAAGCACCUUCUGUACAAAUAUUCAUGUACAAACAUCUUAUCAAGUUCUGGAGUGUACUUCAAAGUUCAGUUAGUUUCUAGUUGAGGCCCUCAAGGUUGAUAGCAUAUAGAGUUGAUCCAACUGAACACGAUUUCCGCUCCUGCCUAGACUCUUCCGAGAGACGAACCUUUCAGUGUACGAGUGUGUGACGAUAUCCACUGUGUAGCUCCUUAUGGUCAGAGCUAUGAAGCAGCCACAACCAAGGAGAAGCUUCUCCUAGUCACUUCUCUUUCAGAGGUUCACCAUACACCCACUCCAUGUCAACCACUUGACAUGACGAAACUCAGCGUACACUUUCAGUAUGAUCCUCUCUACCAUGAAAAACUUUGUUUAUUCACACGCAGGGUUGUGGAGAACGUGCCUUAAACCACACUCCAUCCUCCAAAACUAAUGCUUCGGCUACACGAUAAGACGCUCUUUCUGCAAAGGCCUGUUGGGCUUCUUAAAGGGCUCUGCGUAGUUGCAGAAGGAGGCAACAUGAUAACUUCAUAACUAGUGUUGUGGAAGAUAAUUCAGCUUCCACUUUGUACAGUUGAAAGUUUUCCAUAUGGGAUCCUCAUAUGAUACAUGUCAAUAGUUUUACGUCUUCUUUGUUAGAGUAAGAGGUGUCUAUGUGUUCGCAAGAUGAUUUCAUGUUGAACGAAGUUCGGGGAUCUUCAUCACAAGAUAAUUUCAUGUCAAAAGAAGAGACUAAGGCAGUUCAAUAGUAGUUUAGUGGUGUCAUUUAUUAACUUUAAAUAAUAUUUAAUCGACACCAAAAGCAAAGCAAGGAUUCUUCAUAUCAGUGAGUUAAGGUUGCUAAAAAAAUGUAGGAUUCAAACAUCAUAAAACUUGCCGUCAUAACAGCAUGUUUAACUUAUAUUGACAACGAGUUUUUAUUCGGUACUUAUUGUAAUUCAAUCAAUCAUUUUCAUAUUUAUAUUUACUCUAGUCCUCUUACAUAUCUUACAUAUAUUAUUGUAGAUGCUUGAUCAUUUCAUUAUAUUUUAACAUGUUCAAUUAUUGUUUCAUGAUAGUCUUUAUAUGUGUAUAGAAGGAUCAAAGUUUGUCCUUGACAUCUUCAAACAUAUCAAGAUUGGGAUAAACCACAUGAUUAAUAAACACAUAUGAUUAAUUACAUCUUAUACAACAAAAAAGUUAAAAAUUAAAAUUAAAAAAUUAAAAAAAGUUUUCAAAUCAGUAACUAAUCAAAGAUGAAUAUAUUUUCCAUUAAAUUAUUAAAUUAUGAAUGUAAUUGAAAACUUAGUGAAGUCACAAAAUAUAGUACCUCUGAAAAGCCUCUUGUUACCAUAAGCACACAUCUCAUCAUUCAAAAUAUAUACAUAUUCCUUGAACUAUUUACUGCCGGCACUAUACCACAUUUGACUUUUUGAUAUCUGUGCCAUGUCGGCAGCGCUAUCAGUACUGAAAUUAUGGGCCACAUCGUUCAGACCUCAAAGUAGGAGGUUCUUUUACAACUGCCAUGAGACCAUAUAACAAACUGAGAGAGGGAGUGAGAAAGGAGCCAAAAAAAUUCAUUGUCACAAUGCAUACGAGCCUCAGAAUUGGAAAGCUUUGCAAGUAUUUCAUAUUCACAUGAAUCUACAAGAUGUGGAUUUUAUGAAUACAUAAACAGUGGUAACGAGAUGGUACCCUGAAGGAAUAUCCGCAUCCUAUACAAGAGCGACUACUCACAAGCUUCAAAACGAUGAAGCCAUCUAAGCGUGUUCAGCAGUUGAGGAAUUGGUCUACAUACGGGCAAGUCUAGUUAUAAUAAUCAAUGCUAGAAAAGAAUGUAUAGAAUUGGAUUCUGGACCACCGGAUGUAUGUCACCACGCUUGCGGAAGUGAAGCGGGUUUCCGAUCCACAACUUCAUUUGUAAAAUUGUGGUGUGCAACGAACCUAAUUCGAUGAGAUGGAGGAGAUUGGUGUGGGUGGAUUACUGUAAGAAAGGCAGCUGGGCAGGGCGGAUGGAGCCCCAACGUCCAACCAUAGCGUGCCCCAGCAUUUUCCAUACAGAAGGUGCCUCUUCGUCUUGCAUCCGUGAUGUUACUUCUUUACUUUCAAUUCCGGAAUCUACCAGGUCGUCACCAGGUGACCCCAAAUCGGUUAUUCCGUGGCUGUCAGCACUCUUUCUUCGUUCUCUAAUUGAACAUGGAGUCGACGAGUUGCCUCCCUGCAACCUCUUCAUGUGGGUGACGUCAGAUUCUUCUGCAGCUGGGGUAGCGUGCAAUAGCGGUGUCUGUAAAGAGGCGAGAGAAUCAUCUAAUGUGGUUCUAGAAUUUUCUAGGGUGGAGUCAUCAAACUUCAUGGUAGUGGUGAUGAUCCAUGCGAGGAAGGCACAUCCGCUUGGAACGAGCGCCAGCGCCACACGGAUCAGAGAGUAGUGGCAGAUCGGAGGAAAGCUCAACAAGCUCUGUCCCAUAACAUUCGCGGUUGGACAAAACCGCGUUUGAACUGUGAAAUAAAGGACCAAAACCUUCGUCAAUAAACGAGACCAGGAAAAUCUUGAGUUCAAGGAAAUGCACAGCAUUCAUAGUCCAGAGAAGUUGACACAGGGUUUGACAUAAUCUGAAAUCGAUUACCAUUCAUGCCUUCAAUCAAGUAGAGAGCAAUGCCACAUGCGAAUUUGUCCAAGAAGCUGAGAGAGCCAUAGACAAAUCCACAGCCGCUGAGAUUGGUGCUCACCAAGACCCCUUCCAUACUCGUCGCAGUCACCUAUCACAUAAACAUAGGGGCUCGCGCAUUUUAACAUGAUCGACGAAUGCACCAACCAAAGCUGAUUGCAGAAAAGGGAAAACAAAGUCAAGACAUGAUUAAUUCUUCGUGGAAAGAUGCUAACCAGCAUGAAAGCAUUUCCUACGCCGAUAAGAACUGCGAGAACAUAGACCGGCCCGUGUAGAGACUGCGGAAGAAGUAGGAAAGUGGCGCCGGACAACACCCACAGGGCAGCUCCCAUCGUGAACACAGACUUGAGCUGAAAGCUUGUCCAUCGCAACUCCUAAUAAAAAUUACAAUAUGAGCUCAACAUUGGCUAAACCCCAACAUCGCCGAAUUUUACUAGAGGUACAGAUGUAGACUACAGUACAACGGGGACGAAAUACCUGUAAGACAAUAGAAGCUAAGAAGCUGCACGCGUAUAUCAAGGCAGGCACCUGCAUUGCAAACAUGCAGGACGUCAACACGAGCUUCCGAAUUAGCACAACCACAGACUUCAAGUUUGAAUGUAAGUAAAUUUAUUUUGUAAUUUGUACUUUGUAAUUCUUGCUAGCCAUUGUGUAGCAAGGAGACGAGGGCUAACCACAGCCUUGGACGAUUCUUCCAUGAGAAGAUCAUCAAUGAGGUAGAAAGGCAAAAGCGCCUGCAGUUCCAACACAACUUCAAAAUGUCAAGAUAAUUUCCCAAAUGUGCCUCUUGCAUAUUAAAGCUAAGCGAAAAAAAGUCGUAUGAACAUGUGAUGCUAGCACAUUAAGAAAUUGAACUUACCUGCGAGACGUUAGUGGUGAGCCGCGUGAGCAUGUAGACAGCCGCGACUUGAUAGUAGAGCAACUUUCCGAACCAGACUUUGAAGCUUGUUCUGGAAUUGCAUUCCUGGCUACCCUCCUUGUGAUGCGAAAGACUUGGUUCUUUCACUCCAAUUUGAAACACUACCACAAAGCAUAUUCCCACAGCGAUGGCGGACCCUGCUAUCCAUUUGAACUGAGUCUCAACAUCACAGACUUGCUUAGAUGGCAGGAUUCGGAACACCAAAUACGCGAUCACGUACAACCCGAGAUUUGCAGCCAUUGUGAAUGCAUUUCUGCAGCUGUUGAGGGAAACUUGGCUGCUUUGGUUUGAAGUAAUACAGUUCACCAAGGACCUGUCAAAAACCACGCAAACUUGCUUCAACCAACUUCACAUAAUUCUUGGAAACAAGAACAAACCUCGUAACAAAAACCAGCCGCAAUACACGUUAGGGACGAGCGACGGUCGCGAGGAAGAAGACCUACAUAUGAGAAACUUGUGUGGCAGCCCAUCCGACGUUGAAGAUAGCUGCAAAUGCGCUGUAACCAAUAGUGUGAGCAACGGCGUAGUUGUUACCGAGCAAGGCACACGCCAUGCAUCCCCCGAACACGGAAGAAAAGGAAACGGCCACGAGGAGUGACCCUCCAGCGUGCCAGAUCUUGAAGUGACCAAAGGUGUCGAUCUAUGAACAGACACACAAGGACAUUAAAAAGUCAACUCUAGCAAGUAAAAUCCACGAAGCUGGAAUUGGGAAUAAGUUGCAAUUUUUUAAAUACGAAGAUGUCCCAAACACGUUGUAAAACCGUUGGAAUCAAUACGUCAAAUUCCACUCACCAUUUGGCCCACAACAACGGUAGCAAUGGCGUCAGCUAUCUGACCUGAAAGCAUCACCGUCGCAGCUUCCCUGCAAAGUAUCAAAAUCAGGAUUUAGGCUAUGCCUCUGACACCACAAGUACCCUGUGAAGAAAGCUAGAAAUGAUCACAUCAGAAGGAAGAGGUAUUACAGAACAGAGGGUAAAUUUAGUAAGAACACUACCGAGGCGAAAGCCCAAUGUCCGUGAGGAAGAUCAAAAGAUACGUGAACCAGCAAGCUGCUGUGAGGUCAUUGAGCAUGUGACCUGUACCAUAACACACGAUGGCUUUGCGAGGCAGGGGCUCCGAAGAUGGCCCCAACUCUGGAACUUCGUUCGCCAUCGCUGAACGCAACUGGGCUUCGUCCACCUCACCGGAAUUUACUCGCAACCCCAUCGAGCCUACGCUAUUGUCACGAUCAGGUUGUCAACAUCUGCUGGAAGCUGCUCCGUUCUCGAAAAUCGUCAUCACAGCGCUCAGCACGAAAGAAUGACAAAUGUGUGACGCCUAUAGAUUACUGUACACCUGGCAAAUGAAUCCUUCCUGAAGUAAUUCCAGCGUAAAACAUUGUGAAAAUAACUCCAAACCUAAAAAAAUCAAGAAUUCGGAAACGCUCUCGAGCGAAAACUGGAUCCUGUGUUCAAAGACAAGACCACAAGCUUCAUCAGCAGGAGCAGACCAUAACUAACUGACGUAAGAAUUUUCCAACAAUUCUAUAAGAAUUAAGCCACAUGAGCGAACGAAGCUUGAAGAAACUUGACAUCGGAGCCAGAGCGUUCAUGAAUCGCCACGCGUGAAAUUUAUCAAAAAAAAAAAAAAAAAAAAAAAAAAAAAACGGACGAAUUACAACACCAACAGCAAUUAACAACGACCACGGUCAGGCGAGGGAGAGGACACGAACUGUAAUCUCCAUAGAAACUCGAAAUUAAAAUGCAAGCGACGCAGAGACACAGCAACAACAAACCUCGCGUCAACAAGAAGCAAGCAAUUCAGCAGAAUUCUCUGACGCUCGCGUGGCUGCAAACAAGACUGGAAGACGCAGAAGCGGCGCACAUCGAGAUCCUGGAAUCACCACCACGAACCUCUGCGAGUCUCCGUGGAGAUCGAAGGGCAGGUGCCUGUUGCAGGCAGCAGCAGCAACAGCACUGGGCGGGGGCUGGGCUGGGUUUGGGGGCACCAAGAAGGCACGGUGACCGGGCCGUGGCCCUACUUCCGCGCGGUGAAUGCGCGGGCUAAUUGCGGUCCAUUAGGUUACACGUGUUGCUAGUCAAAUCCCACUUGGCAGCUUGUUUCUCGUUUCGUUGUUCCGGAAAGUCUUGAAAAAGUAUCUGAAAUGCCUCACAAAAAAACGUUUGACAGAUUUACAGAAAUAUCCCGUGAUUUUUUUCUUUUCACGUUAAAUCUGGCGAUUGUGCACGAGGUGGUCUAUGGAAACCUUUGCGUGUGGCGGGUGAUUAUGCUGAAGGGUGACGAUGAGCUACGUGAGUGAGUUGUAAUAUAUAGGAAGAUGGAUGCAUUUGCAUAUGAAUGUAAGGAUUAAGUCAACAUUGGUUUUUUUCUUUUUUUUUUUGUCUUUUUUUUUUUCUUUCUUUCUUUUGUUUGUUUGUUGUUGGUGAGCUACAAAGUCGAUAAUACCACUUUAACUUUAAGUUGGAAUUUGAUAUAGUCAUGAAUUGUAUAUUGAGAUAUUUAUAAUGAAUUUAUUUAGUUAUUUAUUUAAUAACUUCUGAAACACCACUCAAAUAAGUAUAUAGUUAUUUAUUUAUUUAUUUAAAGAGGAGAAUGUUAAAUCAACCCCCACAUUUACUAAAUUGAUCCACCUAUCAAAACCAUCAUUAUACCUCCAUUUUCCAUCCAUUGUUUUCUAUUUCAUCUCAUUAUGAAUGGCAACAAUAACCUUAAAUAUACAUGUUUCUUUUUAUAAAAUUAUUUUGUAACUAAAAUUUUAAUAAAGUUACAUUGCAAUCUUCUAAUUGUAAUUAAAAGAUAAUACAUCUUAUUUUAAUUUAAACAAUGUUGGAUUACUUGAUUGUAUUUUCUAUACUUGUAGAAUCUAAAAAAUAUUUGAUAUAAAUUUAAAAUAUGCAAGUCUUUUGAAAUAGACAUCAUGUGUAAAAUCCAUAAACGCUUUGAGGUUUAGAAUUGGUUUAUUAAGUAAGAAAUAUGAAUUGCUUCAAAAGUUGUAUAUCAUUUUUUAUAAAAUAAGAAUAGGAAGAAGAGACAAGUACUAAAAACAAUAAUAGGAGGUUGAAAUAGGAACAAUAGGAAUAGAUGAAGAAUUAAGACAAGAAAUGGGUACUCAAAACAAGGAACAAAGAUAGGGGAUAUAAAGAUGGUUUUGAUAAGUGGAUUAAUUUAAUAGAAGUCAAGGUUGAUUUAACAUUCUUUUAUACAUAUAUUGUUUAAAAUAUAUUUUAAUCAAAUCUAUUUUAAAAUUUAAAAUUAAUAAUAAAAAUUAUUAAAAAGUCAUCAUCUCUAUGUCAUGCAUUCAUCAAAAACUUCAUAUUUUACAAUUGAACUACCAACUAUUCUUUUAUAGAAUAAGAAAAUUAUAUAUUAGAUGUAAUAAUAGUAGUUGUAGUUAAUGUCUUUCCCAUUUAUUGCUUAACUUCCUUGCUUCAAAAUUCCAUUAAUGAGAUUUUCAUCUCCUUCAUCUUUAGAUUGAAUGGAAAGAGAGAGCCAUUGAAUCUUGUUAAUGGAUUGUUUUUCUUAUUGGCAAAUGAAGUAAUAAAACAAAAACUUUACUUCCAUAAAGUAUCAACAAAUUGGUGCCAAAAAUUUCAUUCAUUUAUUUUUUCUAUCUUUGGAAAACAAAUUUGGUAAGUCCAUAUCUUUUUGGUCUAUCUUCAUCCCAAUAAAAACAAAAGGUAAGGUACAAAAGGAAUUUAGAGGGCCUAAAUCACAAAAAUGAAGCAAGAAUCUAGCUUAAUUAUUAUGCCAUAGGAAAUUAGGAACACAAGCUUAGAUGCUUGCAUGUAGUUGCAAUAAGAUUAAGUUUUAUCCUAGCAUCAUCUAUCAUCUUUUGAUACUAGAAUGUCCAAUAGAAUGUAGAGAUCAACUUUCUUAUAAUAUUGGGAUUGGGAUUUAACAUUCUUUUAAUAUAUUUGUGUUUGUUCUUCUCUUUAACUAUUUUUUAGUAUUUCUAAUAAGUUUGUUGUUGAUGUGAAGAAAGCUUCAAGGUUUGAUUUUUGAGGUAGUCAAUCUUUUAGGAUUUAAAGAUGUAUACAACUCUUGGAUUUUGCCAAUUCUAUUAUCUAUAACCUAUUAUCAACAAGGUUUGGAGUCUUCAUUCAGUUGUUAAGCUUGGAUGCAAUACAUUAGCACUACAAUGUUUCUAUUUGAUCUAGAUCAAGUAACUUUAUCCAUAUUCAAUUGUUUACUUUAUAUUUUUUGUAGUUUUAGAUAUCCAAAAAAUAGCCUUUGAAUUUAUGUCUACAAUUUAAUACUUGUAUUUAGAAUUGUUGUUUCAUGAAAUACUACAUCUAUGUAGAAUUUCUUAUUGCUGGAAGCAAGUGAGUGCAUGUUAUCUUCUCCUCAUUUUGUUGGUGGAAAUUUUUAUACUAUGGAAAUAAAAAAUAGCUUAUUUUAAAACUAUUUCUUAGACCUUUCUCUCUUCAUGUGUUGAUUAUUGUUGUAAUUUAAUUUCAUUAGCAAGUUGAUGCAUUGUAGUAUGUUUAUGUCAAGGACAUGAAUCUUGAAGAAAGAGAAUCCUCAAUACACUCUUUUAUUACUAAAGAAAACUACAAAGUCAUUCAAAAGAUGAUGUAAUAUUAACUAGAAUGGCUAUUGUCAAAAACAAGAAGAAUAGAAAGUCUUGAAACAAGACUAAGACUAGAAAGGCAUUGACAAGAGUGAAGAAUGCUUCAUUCUUGCUUCUAUAUAUACUAUGUAACUAAGAGCUACGUGGCGAUGUCCUAUAGGACCUCCAACAUAUGUUGACUUUGCUAGUUACAUGUUUUAUCUUGCAAGGCAAGUUAUCUAUGUAUGCGCCAUGUAGUUGGCUUGUUCCACAAGCUAUUAUACAGAGAUAACCUGUUCCACAAGCUACUACACGGAGAUAACAUGUUCCACAAGCUACUAAUACAUGGUUAGCUUUUUGGCCAAGUUUCUAACCUACAAACACAUCUAAAGUCAAAACCGUGUCUAUAAAGCUUCUAGAAAGCUUCUCUAAAAGACUUUGUGAAAUUAUUCUAUAUUUACCUACUUCUACUUAAUCAUAUAAGUAACUAUUGAGAUAAAUGUAUAUGUCCAUGACAGUUCAUUGGUUGUAUUCAUUAUAUUCUUAUAAUAUCUAGAUAUGAACCUAUUUGAAUUACUUUAUGUAAUAGUAGAUUGAGACAACUUUGCUAAUAAAAAUUAUUUUGCAUGGAUUUUUAUUAAUUUCAUAUCAUAAUUAAGUCUAAAUUUUCUUUCUCUACAUCUUAGCCUCAAAUUGAAUUUGAGCUAAUAUUUUGAUUUUUUAAAUAUAGCUUAUUAUUUAUACUAUAUAUAUCUAAAAAUCAUCAAAGCAAUUGUGAAUUAUUUUUUUUCUUUCAAAAUUCAAACUCAAAUAAAAUAAUAUUACUAUUUUGUUGAAUUAAAAAAUAUUUAGGUAUCUCAUUGGCUCAUCUACAUCUUAUUAAUAUUAUUAUGUUCUUCUUUGUUCUUUCAUUGUAAUAGUAUUUUCUUGCAAUUAAGACUUCCUACAAUCUUUAUGUACUAGUGACACAUUUUUUGUUCAAGUUAAUAACAUGAUAUGGAUUGAAAACAAAUGAUUAGGGAAUUAAUUAAUAAAGAUGAUUAGUAUGAUCUAUAUUAAUGGAAAGAGUUGUAUUAAGAGGUUAGUUCUACCAUUUCUUUGUCUUUAAUUUUUUUUGAAUAAUCGGGUGCCUCAAACCUUAAUUUUGUGUUUUUCUUGAAAUAUAAUCAUUGUGUCAAUCCAACUGGGUCCUAAUUCUUUCAAUCUUCAAUGUUAUGAUUCUUCUAUUAUUUGAGUUUAAUUUGUGAUCUUGUACUAUCUAGUCUCAUGUAUUAGUUGGAUUCAACGGAAAGAAGAAAGCCAUAUAUAAGACAACUAUGACUAAUAAUAAGAGAUUGUAGAGUACAAUAGAGAGACUUAGAGUCAAUACCAUUCUAGAAAUUAAAGAAAUCAAUAUUUUCUUGGCUGAAAAUGUUAUCCAUUUUGUAAAUCCUAAAGGUUAGCAUUUGUUUGAAAUUUAUCUACCUAAAUGAUUUCCAAAUAGCUUUUAUUAUGCACAACUUUGAGAUUUAGAAUAAUCAUCUUAAUUGGUGUGUGCAAUUUAAGCUUGUAUUGUAGCCAAUACAUAGGUGAUGAGAGGACCUUCUCAAAUCAAAAAGCUUGAAGACUUUUUGGCGAGUAUCUUCAAUCAAUUCAAAUUUGACAACUUAGAAAACUUAAAGAAGCUUCAACAAAUGUUCUAGAGGAAGAAUAAUCUCGGAAGAAAAGUAGAAGAAGAUGAUAAUGUACCAUAGCUAAUAGGAGAGACAUUUGAAGAUGCUACCAAAGAAGAACUUGCCAAGUAGGAAGUUCUCAUAUAGCAAACAAAUGCCAUCACUGAUUCUCCAUGAGUUGUUUUGGGUGCAUGUUUAUUGUUCUAUAUACUUUUGUGACUAAUAUUUAUGCAUUGCAAUGCUUGAAUAACCAACACAAUUCUUACUUAUCUGAAAGUUAAUGUAUAUAGUAUUUGCACAAGUUGUAUGGUUUAGAUGUAGCAAUUUUUGUUGUAGUGCUAUUAAAAGUCAUGAUAUCUUGUCUUUGACAACCAACUUUAUUUGAGUCAUUUUCUUGCUCUUUGAGAGUAGGCAUUUACAACAUCAUGUUGCAUUUAGAAUGCAUAUAGAUCAUACCUCAAGGGCUACAAAAAUGAUUCCAAAUAAAUUUAUUGUAAUGGCAAUCCAAAAAAUCAGCUGCACCCUUAUUGGCUCUUAUUUGAAAAUCAAAAACAUAAUACAUUAAUUGUAUUGUCAAUUUAGAAAUUGAUUAUAAUACCAUAAGAUUAUGAUAUACAUAUCCAUAUAUUAAUACAUGAAAUAUAUGAAUUUGAUCUUUUUUUUUCUAAUACAACAAAAUUUAUGUUACAAUCAUACAAGUAGCAAUAUUAUUUUACAAAUCUAAUAUAAGGUAGACGAGUUCUUUUUUGUAAAAAAAUAUUUAAUUUCUUCUAUGUUUAAAAAACAAUAAUAAAAAGAAAAAGAAGUGAAUCAUAUCAUAAUUUUAAUAUUCAAAUACAUAUAGAAAGUGGUUACGGAUUUGAAAUCUUUCACUUUGUAAUGAACAAAUAGAUGUUGCCAAAAUACAUGGAACAUAGCAUCCCUAAACAAAUCUAAUAGAAAAGAGAAUAAAUGUUGAAGACUGCAAUGAUCGUUCCUUGCAAUAAUUUUCUUUUCGAGCAAUUGUAUGCUUUUAGUCUUUAUUUGAUUUUAUCUCACUACAUGAAAAUGGUUUCAUGGGAAUCAAAAAGUCCUUACAAGUACAUUAAUACCAAAAAUGCUAUUCAAAUAACUGGUAAAAUCGAUCUCGAAUCAUAUGACCAUUGUACAUCGAAAGGUAGUUUAUAAUCACAAACAUAAUGAUCUAUUUACACAUUUACUAUUGAUUAAUUGUCAUAUAUAUAGAGACACACACACACACAUACACUUGGCAACCACUCGACAACAAAUAUUUUAAUCCGUGAACAACAACCCAUGCAAGGUUUGCUUUGUAGAAAAUAGUUAGAUUACUUUAUUUAAUUUUUAAAGAUUUCACUCGUUUUCAUCUAAGCAUGCUGCCAUUGUCCGCUGUGCACCCAGUAGCCAAGACUCUAGUAUCCAAAUUCCAAACUUUUGUAAACAAAAACAAUGGAGCAUUGAAAUCACACAGAACGAAAACUGUACAAAACAUGAAGCCGAAACACAAAUGCAGUAGUGAUGGGAGAAUCUCACACCAGGGAAGCAAUCAACAAUGACAAACCUUUACAUGAUCGUUGGAGAUUUAUCCCACAAUUACUCCGCAACCAGAAUCGAAUGUGAGAAUCUAGUUCAUUUCCUGGGGAAGAUUGAUGGCCUGCUGCGUUGUGACCUUCAAACGGGAAGAAUAGGUACAAAAAAGAAUGGAGGAAUGUUGGCACACCUGUCAGGCUUCCAUCACCACGUCGGUGAAAGCGCCGCAACCAAAGAAUCUGUGUUUGUUUGUGUAUGUGUAGAUGAGGUAGGCUUGAUGGAUCCAUUGCAACGAUGAUGCUUGCUCGCCAAAUGCACUAACGUGUGCAUCAGAAGAGGUCGAGGUGCAGCUUUCGUUGGUCUUGCUUCCACUUGGGUAAGGUGUAGAAUUGUACUUUGCUCAUGCCAAACACGGACAGAAACUCUUCCUCGGACAGAUAAGUCUGCAAGCAGGUGGCCAAAAGAAUCGGUCAGAGGAGCUCAUCAUCUUGCAGAAAAUUGGACUAAAAAAACGGGGCUGGGUUUCUGACCUCUCUCUUCGUGGGGUCGAUGUCUGCCGAAGCAUCUGUGGAGGAGGACUUCAUUUGCUCGUAGGUCAAAGUCCUAGGGCACGUAUCGUCUUUAAAUGCUGCACUCACAGACGUGACUCUGGGAGAGUUUGAAGGAGACUCCGUCUCACCAAGAGCACGCACUUUCAUUGCAGGAGAGGACAAUGCAACCCAGUUCCCGUCUGCAAGUGGAACGACUCGAUGGAAUUAGGAAUUCAAGGUUAUUUGGAACCUUCGUUCAUCGCACAAAUCCUCGCUGACUUUCAUGUUAUGAAUACAUGGUACAGGAUAAUAGGAAAACACAAAUAGAUUGUGAGAAGGUUGAUGUGAGGUACCAACGAUCGUGUCAUCUUCCUUCGAGUUGAGGAUUGAAGAAAGGGCUUUCAUAGCUGCGUCCCUUUGUACAGGACUCGUGUGAAUGUGUACAAACCCAUCUUCGGUUACGCUAUCUGCAGAUGGCACUCCCAAGACUUCACCCUCGCUAGGGUCUGAACUUAACGGAUCAAGGUCUGAGGGCGAGGGAAUCGUUGAUGUUGCCCUUUGACUGGAAGUCAUUUUAGUUUUUAUAUUUUCUGUGGCUUGUUAUGUUUUCGAGCUCUGCAAUAAAUCUCAGAUUAGAAUACGUGCGAUCACAACUUUCUGGAUCCGAUUCAGAACAGUUUGAAGAAUAGAGACAUGCUGCAUCCUGCACCAAAUCUUUGAGAAAAAAAACUUUGGAUGCGGAAGGCCUUAGAAAUUGAAGUAUCACUCAGAUGUCAUGUCACGGCCUAUGCAUGCCAGAAUGCACACAAAGUAAAUAAAUAAUGAAUAUACGAAAUCAGUAACUUCUUCUGUAUUUAUUCAUAGCUUUGGUAAGCUCCCUAAGACCUUGCAAGAACUAAAGUUUCCAAACGAGAUGUUUAACGAUUUAACUACAUCGGCAGAGGAACACAACCCUACUCACUGUGUCAAUCCAGUCAAUCGAGCAACCUCUACAAUCUUGGCCAAUCCCACCAAGAGAACGAAAUUCCGAACCAAAGUAGGUAUCAAUGAUCGCUCCUUUAAUCGUAUACUACGGUGCAGGUUGUGAUUCUCCACACGACCAGAAAUAGCACUCGAUGCGAGCUUCUCGUUUAAUCGGGCCACGUAUACCAAGGAAUCAAAUACUCACAAGCACGCUUUUCAAACUCUAAAAUGGCGAAAACAUUGGGAUUAGAAACGAAGACACUCAGAUUCUCAACUCCACAAAACGAAUCGAAGUAACGCGAAAUUGGCGGCGCACCUGCACUGCACACCGCAACAAACACUUGCCGGCAGUGCCGCGAAUCGCCAGGAGUGAAAACACCCUCGAUCGCUGCCAAACCUCCUAAACACAAAACUGGACCACUGAAAACUCCCACGUCGAAAUCAUGCCAUUUCGUCCUCUAACCCAACACCCUUGCAACUCAGACCAAAACAUAGCGACAAUCGCGCUCAACAAAACGCCGACUAAAAGACGUCAACACUACUCAAAGUACGCUUCACACAAUCCAUGCAAACCUUUUACAAGUGAGAGAGGAAAAUCUUCCGCCGAUCCUACGGUGAAUCAGUAUUCUCCGCAAGGGAAGCGUGUACACAACAACACCCCUCAGGCUCCUUCCAUCUGCCGCAACUCUUCCUGAUCGAACUCGGCAAGCAAAUUUCAAAAGCAACAAGUGCCGAGAGAGCUGCACAAUCCUGGAGGAGGAGACGGAGGCAAUCUGGCUGACCCGAUCGAGGCAAUUGUCCCGGAGCUUCGGGUGCAGUGGAUCUACCGACGUGUAUCUACAAAUUCUCCAGAUAAAAAUCGGAAUUCGCACUCAGUGAGAUUGAAAUUCCCCAAUUACGGCAUUAACUUGUAAUUUUAAACCAAAAUUGAAUCAAUAAUGACGUGCAUCGUAGAGGGGGAACCAAUAACUGCUCGGGGACACCUUGGGAACGUGUGCGUACUGAUGCCCGCAAGGGAACCGCAAGGAGAACGACUUGGGAACAACAAAGUUCCAGGGGCUCCGCCUGAUGAAACGGCGGGUGGGAAGCGUUUCGAGUUCCGGAUUCCCAGUGUUCCUCGACCCCGCCGACUGGUUGGCGUGCUACCGGGUGACCCGGUGAAUCACCGGUCUUCUUCCUCCCCUCGUCACGGUCUGUGUGCCUCCAGGGUUUAGUUGAGCGAGUUCCCGACAAAGCAUUUGACAUUAUCGAGCGCGCAAGCUUGCCGUGUUGUGGUACUUGCACCGGGAGAAGGAAGGUGGAGACUGUGGGAGUCGAGUGAAAGUGGAAUCGAGGAAAUCGGUGGAGUGUGCAGGGUUUUCUGGAUGUUUUGAUGCGCCUCAGCUGCGAGGUCUGUAGAUCUCCGAGUUGCAUUUGUAGAUGUUUAAAUUGUAUGGGUGGAAGGAUACUCCUUAGGUUUUAUUUGCGGUCUUGAGGAGAUUUCUGAGUCUUUGGAGAACUUCGGUGUGGGGUAGCGUGGUGUAUUUUGAGUAGUGUAGGGGUAUGAGUCAAGCUUCCUCGUUCGGAGUGAUGUUGUGUUGAAGUAGGAUCGCGUGGAAUCGUGCUUUUUAUUGCUAAUGAAUGAUGUGCAUUUUGAUUUUCAAGCGGUUUUGAAACGGUGUUCUUGUGUAGAUGACAUUCUUUGUUCUUCCUGGAAACGCAGACGUGCUGUAUUCUUCUUCCAUUGAGUGGCGGGAUGCAGUGCGAAUUAUAACCUUGUUCCGGAGGAUUUUUGUUGCAGCAUUGUAUGGGACAGAAAUUCGAUCCGUUAAUUUCACCAACUUGAAUCGUUGACAAACGAACGAAACGAGUGCGAGAUACUUUGUGGAGUCCGCGCUUGGUUUUUUUAAACUUCAUUUAAUUUUUUUAGCGUGGAAAGAGCAACUCAGCAUCGAGAGAACGACCUGGAUCUCUUGCAGGGGGGAGAGGCCCCCAAUCCUCUAAUUUCUCGCAGGUUUUCGUCGUCCAACACAAUGAUGGGCAUGGAUGAUGAUCAUAGGAUGGAUGUGGAAAACCCAUUGAUGGGUUCCUAUCAGGAGAAACCGAGGACAUUUUCGUCUUUGAAAAACAAGCCUUUCUGGGUACACCUUCUCCUAAUCCCUUGAUUCAUUCGAGUUGAAUCUUAGAUCCCCUUCCUACAAUGUUCACUGAACCAUUCAACAUAUUCAAUGUGCAAACCUUGUAAGAACACCUUGAUUUAUUAACAUUCUGUCUCUAUGUUGUCGUAUUAGGAUUUCUCAAUUCAGAGCACAUACCAACUCGUCCCCCUUGUUUUUUGCAGCUCGUACAGACGGCUCUCAGACUGGACAGACGCGUCUACUACCUCCUUGCUCUGUUUACUGUGUUUUUCUUGUUCUACAUUGGGUCACAAAGCUCUCCGAUCAUCUUGUUUGUCUUCACAAUAUGCAUAGGCAGCUUGGUGUAUGCAAUCUACCUCGCAAGUUGGGUUCUUGCAAAGGACGAGGGGCCGCCUGAGAUGAGUGAGGUACCGUGAUGAACUCUGAUGCCUUUCUUAAUAAUGCAUGUGACUGUUUCCGUUCUUCAGUCUUUGUACUUCUAUCUGUAGUUCAGUCCAAUGAGGUGGUCGAAGAGGGCUAUUAAAUUUCGGUUCACAAGAAAUUUCGUCUGAUCUCGCGGAGAGGAGUGGUAGAGAAGCUGGACCUGGUUCAUUCUUAGUGUUUAAUUUGCACAAGUUGUGCUGUUCUUACAGUAAUUUUGAACAACUAUUUGGUAGGCAAUUAUAUUUUUCAAUGCUUCUCUACGCAGAUAUCCGAUGCAAUCCGAGAUGGAGCAGAAGGAUUCUUCCGCACACAAUAUGGAUCCAUAUCUAGAAUGGCAGGAGUUUUGGGGUUCGUCAUUCUUGGAAUCUACAUGUUCCGCAAGUCUACACCAGAACAAGAGGCUGCUGGACUUGAGAAGUAAUCUUUCUCUUCACAAUCAAGUUUUAGCCUUGUAUUGUUAAAGAUAAGCCAGUUGAACUGGAGAAAGUGAUUUUCAUGUUUGCAGUAUACAUGGGUGACGUUCUUUCGUAGUUCCUUUUUAGAGUGACUACUGAUUGUAGCUGAUAUUAUGAUUCUUACAGGUCAACGUUGGCUUUCAUUACUUCUCUAUCCUUUCUAUUGGGAGCUGUUUGUUCGGGUAUUGCUGGCUACAUUGGCAUGUGGGUGUCGGUCCGAGCCAAUGUGCGUGUGUCUAGCGCUGCUCGGCGCUCUGCACGAGAGGCGCUCCUGGUUCGUGUUUCUUUUGCUCUAUAUCGUUUUUGCAGUUCAACUUCCUUUUUAUACUGUAGUGACGUUAUUUAUAACCAGAAAUUUAGUUGUUUACUCGGCAGGUAGCAUAGACUAUAGAAAUUGCUCUGAAGUUCUUAGUUACAUGAAAAUCAAUCCACCAUGACCUUCGCGUUAGACGGAGAUGGUCUUCAACCGCAGCCAUUAUGAGAUCAUUGCUGGAUAAGAUCGUUAGUUAUUGCUGUUGCUUCAGGGUACAGUGAGAAAAAGGAUAGGUUUGACUCUUAGACAUGGCAAUAUUAACUUUAUUUUUGCUCUCAGAAAAACGUGUUAGUUGUAUGUUAUGUUAAAGAUGCACAUAGUCUCAUAAUGUGUGUUUGUGGUGAUAAUGGCAGGUGGCUGUGCGUGCUGGAGGCUUCUCCGCUCUCAUUGUGGUUGGAAUGACAGUAAUGGGAGUUGCAGUGCUAUUCGCAUCCUUCUAUGUCUUCCUUAGUGUUGAUACUAUUCAUAACAUGAAGAUGACUGAGUGUGAGGGGCCUUACUUUUCUUUCCUAUUUUGUGCGCCUAAAACUUGUUUUGAGCUUGGUGGAUUGACCUAGAACAACUUCUCAUGAUCACAUUCAGAGGAUUUGUAUGUGUUCAUUAAUGAUGUUUUCCAUGUUGCAGUGCCUUUGCUGCUGGUUGGCUAUGGUUUUGGUGCUUCGUUUGUUGCGCUCUUUGCACAACUAGGAGGGGGGAUAUAUACAAAAGCUGCAGACGUAGGUGCAGAUCUGGUGGGUAAAGUGGAACAAGGGAUCCCUGAAGAUGAUGCAAGGAAUCCUGCCGUAAUUGCUGAUCUGGUAUGUGUAAAUGCGUUCUUUUCUGUAUCUGUAAGUGUCUAGUCGUGUCUGUUUUACUUCAGCGUUGGUUCUAGUCCUCUCUAUACUUGCAAUGUCAAAUAGAAUUUAUUAAAAAUUUAGUACGUCUAUUGGCAGUCCAGUUAUUGAAGCCUGUACAUUGGAGCAGGUCGGAGACAACGUGGGAGAUUGUGCUGCCCGUGGUGCGGAUUUAUUUGAAAGUAUUGCAGCUGAAAUUAUCAGUGCCAUGAUUCUUGGUGGCACCAUGGCCAAGCGCUGCAAACUAGACGGUAAGUUUCCUUAUUGUGUUUGUGUGUUUGAAGUCCGAUAUAGUGUUCUUUGUUCUGCUGCGCAGGAUCUUGUCAUCUUACAAUCCAUACACCACUAAUUUUCACUGACUCGCUUUUUUGCAGAUCCAUCUGGGUUUAUCCUCUUUCCCCUGGUUGUACAUUCAUUUGAUUUGGUUGUAUCUGCUAUCGGGAUUGCUUCAAUCAAAGGCACUCGAGACCCCAGCUCAAAGUCACUCAUUGAAGAUCCUAUGAUCAUUUUACAGAAAGGAUACUCUGUCACGCUCUUCUUAGCGGUGUUAGCUUUUGGAGGAGUGAGUACUCUGCAGUUUCUAAAUUUGUGCACGAUGAUUUCUUUGUCUUGAUAACUUAUGCACCUUAUUUUGCUUUUUAAAUUUCGUAGCAUACAGAAUGCUAAGCGCCGGGCUGAAGGAUUUUAAAUUUUACACACAUGCAUUGUAUCAUCUGAAAAUGGCAUAUUGACCUGUUCUGAUACUUAAUUCUUAUGGCUCAUGCAGUCAACAAGAUGGCUUCUCUACACUGAACAGGCCCCUUCGGCUUGGUUUCAUUUUGCUCUUUGUGGGCUGGUUGGUAUUGUUACUGCAUACGUUUUUGUUUGGAUCUCUCAGUACUACACCGACUACAAGUAUGACCCAGUUCGUCAGGUGGCCCUGUCGAGCACAACGGGACAUGGAACCAACAUCAUUGCAGGUUUUUUUUUUGUAUUUAUUUAUUUAUUUAUUUAUUUUUGUUCAUAAAAUAUUUGAGUUGUUAGAUUUUAUUUGCAGGGCGUUUUUCUUUUUCCUAAUACUGAUGGGUGCACAAAUGAGCCAUAUCAUGUAAUGACUGAAUAUAGAUCUUUUAUGUAGUUAGUUCUGGCAUCUGGUUCACUUCGACAUUGCUUUAGUAACCGUGAAAUUUUUAUUCAAUAUGAGAACUUUUUACUGUCUCGGAGUAGUUGACUUACAGCUCCUUAAGGUGAUAAUACUUGCAUCCUUAUCAGUCGCUUUUUAGAGUAACCAAAAAUAGUGAAGCAUGAAGUGAAAAGGAGGUUUAAUUAAGCCGUCAUUUCUCUGGAGCAGGUGUGAGUCUUGGCCUUGAGUCAACAGCAAUGCCGGUUCUUGUCAUCAGCCUAUCUAUUGUCACCGCGUACUGGCUUGGAAAGACAUCUGGACUUCAGGACAAUCAAGGAAUUCCAACUGGAGGGCUCUUUGGAACAGCUGUAGCGACUAUGGGCAUGCUCAGUACUGCGGGCUAUGUGUUGACGAUGGACAUGUUUGGACCCAUUGCAGACAACGCUGGAGGCAUUGUUGAAAUGAGUCAACAGGUAUGAGUGUAUAGGAGCGAUUGCACUUUUGGUAUAAGGGUAGUAAUGCUUAAUAUUUCUAUUUGGAGUUUUGCAUUGCUGAUUUGCUGAUUUGCUGUCUGCAGCCAGAGAGUGUUCGGGAGAUCACUGAUUUGCUGGAUGCAGUUGGUAACACUACUAAAGCAACUACUAAAGGUUUUGCCAUCGGCUCAGCUGCCUUAGCUUCCUUCCUUCUCUUCAGUGCUUACAUGGACGAAGUGUCUUCAUUUUCUGGCGUUGCCUUCACUACGGUAUGACAAAUUUAUGCUCCUGCAACCAGGGUUCAAUCACUGCAUUAGCUGGGAAGCAAAGGUUUUCAAGAUUGGAUUUAUGCAUAAGUAUGUAGGAAUUGCAACCGGUGGGGGCCUGUGGUAAUCGAAAUCCUCAUUGUUUGUGAAUUCAGGUGGAUAUUGCAAUCCCAGAAGUAUUUGUAGGAGGCUUGUUGGGGUCUAUGCUUAUUUAUCUGUUCAGUGCCUGGGCAUGUGCUGCUGUGGGCCGAACAGCUCAAGAAGUUGUCAGUGAAGUCCGCAGGCAGUUUUCUGAGCGGCCUGGUAUCAUGGUAAGGAUUCACGAGUUUACAAAUGCCUCUUCCAGUGCACUUCAGUUGUAAUGCUUAGGAACUUAAGGUUGGAUAUUUUCUUUAAAAUGGUCUUUUGAAUAUUAACAUUGGUAGUAGUACUAUUAACGGUAUCAAUCUUUUUGUACUGAUAGCAAAUCUGGUGCGACUUGUAGACGUACCAAGAAAAGCCAGACUAUGCUCGGUGUGUAUCCAUCGUUGCGGCUGCGUCUCUCCGUGAGAUGAUCAAACCAGGGGCUCUGGCAGUCAUCUCUCCAAUUGUAAUUGGUAAUGCAACUUUAUUACGAUGUUGUUGAGCUAGUUCUCAAGUGGUUGAACAAUCCUUGGAUACUGCUUUCUCGUCUGUGGUAUUCAAGAACAGCGUUUCUGACUGGUGUUUUAGUGCUGUCUUCGCUGUUUUUUGGUAUAUUCCUUCUAGAAAUGACACUUCCAGUAUCUCGUCUGUGUGAUUUUGCGCCUUCACUAAUGAAUGGCUGGUUGACGUUAUUCCAAGUGCUACUCUGACUGGGGACCUUGAAUUGUGAUUGUUUAGGUCUUGUUUUUAGGCUUGUUGGGCAAGCUACAGAUCAGCCGCUGCUGGGAGCCAAGGCUGUGGCUGGCAUGCUCAUGUUUGCAACGGUCUCAGGUAUCUUGAUGGCCCUCUUCCUCAACACUUCUGGAGGGGCUUGGGACAACGCAAAAAAAUAUAUUGAAAGCGGGGCUUUUGGUGGGAAGGGCAGCGACGCCCAUAAAGCGGCGGUUACUGGUGAUACGUAAGUCAACUUUCGAAAGCAACUGUAGGGUGCUGAUUGUUUGAAUAAUGUUUCAGUGGUGCGUCAUUUGCAUACCCAGUAAGCAUUACAGGUUUUUGGAAUGACUAAAAUGUAGUAGUUUGUUCAUUUAGUAUUUAACUUUCACGAAACGAAGUGAUACAAGUUUCGAGCUGAAUGUUUCUUCUGGAGACAGGAACUUAUCACAUUCAUUUUUGGAUUGCAGAGUUGGAGAUCCUUUUAAAGAUACUGCUGGACCUUCUCUCCAUGUGCUAAUCAAGAUGCUCGCUACCAUCACACUGGUCAUGGCACCGCUCUUCCUGGACAAUUGAAAAUCUACAGCCAGGCAAUUUUUCACUCAUUUGGAGUUUGUCGAGGUUUUGUUUUAGACAUGCUGUAAUUACUAUAGCAAGGCAAUUGACACUCUUUCGUCGCAGGCUUCUCAAAGCACCUUCAUCAGACACAAUCAGGUGAAAGUAGUAGCUGGUUUGGUUGUGAUAAGAGCUGCAAUGUUCUGAUGGAAGUAGCGCAGGUCCUAGAUUGUUGGGUCACGAUUUUAAUGGUAGUACUUCAUUUUAGCGAGGUGAUGGUUUUUUCCUAUUCUUAUAAGGAGAGUACAUUGUCGCUGAGUAAAUUGUUGUAUUGACGGGAAAGAAAACAUGCACAAGUUUCUACAGAUUACUGAAGCAGCAAGCGAUUAGGUGAAAGAGCUAUUCAUCUCGUGGAAAGAUCCGCCUUGACCCAUUUCGGGAUGUAGUAUUUUGAAAUUGGUGGUAUUAUUGAUUGUUGCCAAAUUUUGGUUGGAUGUGUUUGAAUUAUCGAUGUGUUUGAAGUAAUAUCUGGUUUGGAAUUUAAGAAUGGCAGCAUCACUCUUUUCAGCCCUGCCUCUGCAAGGCUUACAAGAUCAACCUUAGCUAUAUUUUGGAUGGGACUAGCGUCAUGUGACUCGGAUCAUCGCAUAAAAUUCUUAAGAUCUUAUUCGUGAAAUAAGUAUGGUUUCAUGUCUAGAAGUACAAUUAUCUUGCCUGAGUCAUCAUAUUUUUCCUGGUCGUUACUGCUAUUGAUCGGCCUCUGCGGGACUUCUCUACGAAAGUACAACCGGAAAGCUUUUGAUAAGCCAACUCAUUUUCGUAUUUAUUAGAGGAAUUCUGGUUUUUGCCUUACUUCCUGGUAAAGAUCUCCCAACAUGAAAUAGUGCGUCCCUUCUUGUUUCUUUUUAUUAGGAUAAUCAUUUAGCUUUGAAAUUUGACAUGACGAUCAAGGGUGGUGGCGGGUCACAAAUUGUAGACCUGCAACGAAAGCAGGCACAGCAAUAGAAAGAUUGAGCUCAAAAAUAGUCGGUUCCCUACAAAUUCUCUCUUUUGACAUUGAACCCCAGCGUAUCGGUGCAGUGCAGCCUUUCAACCAGUUUCUGAACCGCUGGGUCGAGGACAUCGAGCCUCUUAAUUAGGGUUGGUGGGAGUUUGUGGGGAUUGGGAAGCUUGCGGCGUUACAAUUUUUUCUCGUAUGCGCCGUCGUUUUAAAUAAUGGUUUGACGACCGAAUUCUUCCUGGGUACGAAGUGGAAAGAAAGAGCCUUGGCACACUUAGACGUAGAUGUUUCACCUUGACACUUCCAGAAUGAGGACCGGUUUUAAGACUUUGUAAAAUGUGGGCUACAGAGGAUGUGACAAGUCUUGAAGAAUCAUCGAACAGUUGCAACAUUGAGCAUGGUCCACACAUAUUGUGACGAUACCGUCAUGCUGAUGGGCAGACUUGGAUGUCUUCAACAUGUGAUAAAGCUCAAUGCCGCAGAGGCGAUUACACCAACAGGUCUGGUGCAUGCUCAUAGAAUAACAGAAUGGAGGAUGCAAAGUCAGAUUAGGAGCAUCAAUGCAGCACUACAAAGGAGAGAGGAUAAGAGAAUACUCAAAGUCAUAUAUAUACAUAUAUAUAUAUAUUUAUAUACCUAUGCUUAAAUACAUACACUUCCAAAUCUUUCAAAAAUGAUAAAGCUCACCUGAUGAACUGUAAAGAAUCGUGUUACAAUACGUUGAAUAAACACUCAACUUCAGAAAAUACAAAACAUAGGACUGAGAAAACUUUCAUUAAGUACCAUUGUAUAAGAAGUAGGUAUAAUAUUCAAGUGAAUACAUGAGCUAACAAUCAAUCUGAGCUACACAUCAGUUUUUGAUUUUGAUUUUCGAACUGGGGCUCUUCAAGAGUAAAUGUUACACGUACAUGAAACAUUUAAAUGGCUGUAAGAAUAUUCACAAAAGAUUCCAGUGGGAAGGUUUUCAAAAAGCAAGACCGUUGCGGUGUGAACGGGUCUAGGGGAGGAAGCCCUAAUUCGGGAGCCAAGUGUAGAAGGAGGGUGUGGUGGUACUCGCCAUGGGCAUCGAGGUCGCCGAGAGAGGAGGAGAGUGACCUUGCGAGAGACAAGGGCAGAGGAGGAGCUGCGGACUCUCGGCCAAUUUGUUACAGGAUGUGAACGCGCAAGCUAUCGUGCGAAGAAGCGGUUGCGUACUGUCUAGCGUUGGAAACACGACCAGAUGGCUCGCCUUUUCAAGGUCAGUUGACGGGAUUAUGCUCUACCCUCUUCAUAAUUCUUAUCCUUCAGUUUUGUCGUGUUUUUGCUGUGGAUUUAGGCGGUCUCGGUCGACUUUGAAUCGUAACGGUUUCGUAUUUCAACACAGGACGGAAGAAUCGUCGUUAGCCUCUGGUGGCAUUGAGUUUCGCGACGGUCUAUGUCCAUUGCUUCUUUUUUUCUGAAAUUUGCUUAUUGUUUGCGUCGAAGCAGCGUUUCGGUGUUGAGGGUUUUAUGAAAGAGGACUGAUGUGUGUUGGGCUGGCUGUUCUGUUGUCAGUUACUGACUCUUCGCUGUUUUCCUUUUGUAUUGGUAGACUUAAUCGGAAGUCGCUCCAGAAGAAUUGUUUGCGGUAGUUAUCAACGUGUUUACGAGAGACCUUGUUUUUGGGUUAUGUUCUGCUUGCGCAUGUGUGUUUUAGUGUAGAGCAUUACUUAGGGCUGUAAUAGGUUAUAGAAAUGAAUUGUGAUUUGUGCAGGUGUAAGUUAGUUCGCAGCUAUGAUUAAUUUUUUAGCUAACGAAAUUUGAAUUUGAAUGCACAUUGUAUUUGAGAUGAAAUAUGCGGGAUUCGUGUGAGAGAAAGUCUGCGUCCGCUUCAAGCGAAAACAAGACGAGAUUGAGAAGACGUAUGUUUGAGGAGGGAUGAAUUUAAUAUCGCGUUUAGGAAUCAAUUAGUGUGGCAGUCUUAAAAUGUUCGUUAUGUUAGCUUUAGUUUAUCCUCAUUUUACAGUGAGUAUAUACUUGGUUAAUUCUUGCAAUUCUGAGAUAGUGAGGACCAGGGAUGUGGCAAAGCUUGAGGUAACAAACACGUGGCAUGUCGAAGUGCUGAACGAUUUUUUCUGGCUGAAUGCAGAAUCCGGAUCAACUGUCGGCGUACAGAGAUCGUAGAUUUCUGGGAUCACAGGAUGAAUUUGAGCAUGCGCUUCGAACCUCAACCACAGUGUAUGUGGGAAACCUCUCUUUCUAUACCACAGAGGAGCAGAUCUACGAGGUUUUUUCUCGCACUGGGGAGCUGAAGAAGAUCAUUAUGGGUCUCGAUAAGAACAGUAAAACCCCGUGUGGUUUCUGCUUUGUUCUGUAUGUUCCUAAAAACCUUGACCCAAGCAUCUCGCGCCCGAGAUUAUCACAUAUUACUGCAUGACUUCUAAUCGUAUGUGCCAUAGGGAGUCCAACAGAUUGGUUUGCUCUUCUUCUUCUUCUUCUUCUUCUUCUUCUUCUUCUUCUUUCUCCUUCUUCAAUCCUAUACAAAUUUAAAAUUGUAAAUUGUGGCAUAUUGGAAAAACUUAAACGCAUGCAAGCUCAGGCUUUCAGACAGUCUCUGAGGGCUUUGCAUUGACAAGCUUCUGCGUGUUGUGUGGGAGUUAGAGGUUUCAAUAGUGUGAUUGUAGUGAUUUUACCAAGAUAGGAAUUUCAUAUUUUCCACGGUGCUUCUUUCCUUUACAGAUGCAUUUGAAUUUGGAGUUGCUGAUCACGGCCUUUACGAGGAAUAUAUUUUUUCAAUUGGAUAGGGUUGGAUUUUUUAGUUCUGAUGUUAAAGUUGAUUGGCUAGAUUCUAUACAAGAGAAGAUACUGAGGACGCUGUAAAAUACAUUAGUGGAACCAUUUUGGACGACCGACCUAUACGUGUGGACUUUGAUUGGGGUUUUCAAGAGGGUCGGCAAUGGGGUCGUGGAAGGAGUGGAGGCCAGGUUGUUAUCCUUACUUUUGUAGUGCUUUUAUACUAUAUUCACGAGUUCUUUUCCUGUAAUGUAUCUGACAACUGAUACUUGGGUGCGCAUCGAUGGGGAAUGCUUGUGAUGACAGGUGCGAGAUGAGUACCGUACAGAUUAUGAUCCUGAUAUCCUUAACUGCUGUGCUAUUUGCGUUCAUUGUUCCUUUCGAAGCUUUGUACUAUAGAUUUAUGUUCCUGCGAGCUCAUGAAAUACCAUAGGAAACCCGGUUCUCUGUAUAUUAUUGAUUGUGUUUUUCCCUUAAUUUAAAACAAUUGCACGGAGAGGAGGCUAUGGAAAGUUGGUACAGAAGGAGUUGGAAGUGCGGCGGCAGCUUGUGGAAUAUGACCAACCUGUGGGCAUGGGAGGGGUUCAAUAUCCUAAUCUGGGAGAAGGAGGUGGUGGAAAUGAAUUCAGGCGUAAGGAUCAUUACAUAUUUCUGCAAUCAGUAUUACUAUCACCCUACAAUCUGGGAAACGAGGCAGCUUGUUUCUUUUCUUUUCUUUUUUUUCUUUUUGGAAUGAGGAUUAACGUUUUCAUGUAAAAUUUAUUUGAUAAUAGUACCAGCUUUAAAAUUUGGAAAUAUUUACAGGUGGAAAAGACCGACAUGGCAAUGGAGGCAAUCGACAUAGAGGUGAGUUGUUUGAUUACAUCUAACACAAUGUUUUGCUAUUUCGUGAGUUCAUUCCAUCUCUUUUACUCUUUCAUGUCUGGGCUUUUUGCAAUCCAUCAGCGGAAAUUUCGCAUUUGAUGUCUUCCCUUCCUGAUUCUUUUUCAAUUUUAGUUCACUGCUUACCAACUUCAUAUUAUUACUACAUGUUGCAUCCAUUUGAGAAUGAUUACUUUUGAUUACUAUCUCGCUGAAAAGGUCUAAAGUUUACCUUUGUUGGGUGUAGAGGGGAGAAAGAGAUACAGAGAUGAAGAUGCUCCACCUGCAGAUGGUGUGAAGAGACAAGAUAGGGAACUGAAAGUUGUAAGUUGGUUGAAAUCUCAAGGGGCCUCAACAUCUCACUCUGCAGUUGUCUUAUCUUGUUCAAUCAAGACAGUAAAGACCGCGUUGAAGUGAAGGGUCAAUUACAUUUAGAUUGUAAUCAUUAUCAUCUAUAACAUCAUGCCACAUUUUUAGGCGUCUACUUGGUUUUAACACGGGUUUUUUGCAGGAAAAGAAUCCAAGAUUUCGAGAAAAGGGUGACUCUGAUGAAGAGGAUGGAGGGGAUGGAGGGAAAAGUUAGAGGUGGAUAUUUUGCUCUCUGUGUAUUUUAGGAAUAGCUGCUUCAUUCUAUUCUAUUCUAUGUGAUUUGAAACCUAGUUAGUUUUGGAUCUAGCCUCAGGCGCUGGUUGAAGAUAUAUUGGCUUAGCUUGGUUUGGGUUACCUUUUGGUUACCUUGCGGGAUUUGAGAAUUUUAGCUGUUUUGUCGUGCAGAUGUGAGUGCCAUUUAUGGCAGGAAAUUGUCUUCAUUUUGUGCUUCAGCAGCACAGAUCCUGGUUACAUAAUUCUCUUCAAAAACUGUUCUGGGUUUUUAGACAAGUUUCAACUGACUCAGAUCACAUGGGAGUUGCCAACUUUACUUGAAGCAUUCCAUCCUGAUGAUUUGAUGAAAACCAGCAGUUUAUCCUCGUUUUUACUGGAAUUUCAGAACUUCGUCAAAACACCUUUUUACAUUAUCUUUUGUAGCCACUUCUUAGCUACUCCAUUGACAUGAAUGGUCUUUAAAGCCAGGUGAAGGCUGUGAUCGUAUGUCAAUUCACAACUACAACCUUAUGUGCAGUAAACUUGUUAUGUGCAGGGAUUACCUGUCUCGAGAUAGUUGUGCCGGGUUAGGUAUCAGUUGCUAGGAUCAUUACAAGGGUGCGUUCAUGGAAUCCGGGUUGGAUUAUUACUGAUAUUUGUGAUUUAUAAUCAACCUCUUUGAUGUGCAAUUUUUUCCACGUUCAUUUUGAGCGAUUUGGGUACACCAUUUUCAUGAUUAGUACUGAACUUUGUAUUUUGGUCCUGAAGGUAUGUUAGUUGUUGGGUGCUUAGUUGAGUGAGUUAGCGAUAGCACAUUUAUUUUUGGUGAUGAUGUGAACCAAGAAGUGCAUAAUAUUUCUUAUCUUAUUUAGUACAAAAUCCUAACCCUUCCAGUUCAUCAAGUGCCUGAUAACUCCUGGUCCUCGAGAUGCACUGUGCCUUAGCAGUCUCUAAGGCCUAGCUACCAUGCUUCUAAAACCGAAGUCUCAGCCGAAUCUUGCGAGUAGGUGGGACACUUAUGUGCUACUGGUAUUAAUAACUCGAUUUGUGUAGCUAUAUAUUUACAUUUUUGUAGACACGUUUAUGUGUAACGAUUCAGAAGUGCGUGUGGAUAUGCCAAUGGAGUUCACAUCUCUUAAUAAAUAAUAAGAAGAGUACCAACUCCUAAGACUGAACUAAAUUGAAAAAGAUACCAUUAUGGAAUUUUUGUGUGUUGUAGAAGUACAUUGCUUUACUUGGCUGGUUGUUGCUGUUGAAGACUACCCAACAUGUAAAUUUAUCAUUCUGCCAAAAGAAAUUAGAAGAUUCGUUGUCGACAACAGAAACUACAAAUUGAUGUUCGUACAAAAUGACGGAGUCGCUAUUAUACUAAAGUCCAAGUUUCGGUAUUAAUUGGAUCCUGCUAUCACAACUGUUUAAGUUGACAACUGAUUUAAAGACACGAACACUAGUGAAUUCAUUAUUCUUUUUAGUAUUGUUUGGGUCAAUUAACGUUUUUUAUACAUAAAUUAGCGUGGUUAAUUUGGGAGCAGAGAAGAAAAUUAUAUUUAUGAUAUUUAGUGGGAACUCACUGGUAUCCAACUGUACAAGCUUAUCAGCAAAUUUAUGUAUCUAAGAUAUAUACUGGGAUAGUAGCACGUUGCUGUCAAAAUAAUUGCAGAAAAUCCUUUUUGCAUUUUUAUUUUGUACUCGUUCAAGAAAAUCUGUAGCCUCUUAAUUGAUCUCUUCUUUUAUUUAUUAUUAAAAUUAGUGCAUGAAGUGAACUAAAGCCACCUUUAUCACUUGGGUUUGAAUUGUACAUCAUUAGGUUGUUGAAAACCACUCUUAUUAUGCAAAAGCCCUUCUAAUGCAAUGUGAGAAGAUUUAUUAGAUGUAAGGUUCUACUCCUAUCUAUUAUUUGCUUGUUUCUUUAAGAAUAGAGAUAGCAGGUGAAUAGCAAAAUCCUCAAUCAAAACUUGAAUUCUAUGCCAAUGAAAAUCCAUUAGACAACAUUUAUAUGCAAGCAGAGUUUGGGGAUUCAUUUGCAAAAUUGUUACAAUGUGAAAAGAAUUUUUUUAAUGGUAAUAAGAAGAGUGUCACAAGAUGUGUUGAAACAUGUUUUCAUAACUUUGAAAAUACAUAUAUAUAUAUAUAUAUAUAUAUAUAGAAUAAAAUAAUAUUUUAAAAAAUACUUACACAUGGUGAUGAUAUCUUAAUAGAAUUGAAGAGGUAAUAACACUUAGAAUAAUUAAGAUGCAAAGUGGUAAUGCCUCUACCUGACCAUGAAAAGUUGGUAUUAAAUAUAUAUUUUUUGAAUAAUAUUUCUUUUAAAAUGGUGUUAAAGAGAAUUGUACACAUGUAAAUUAUUAUUUUGAAUUAAAUAUAAUGAUAUAUAUAUAUAUAUAUAUAUAUAUAUCCUCAAUUGUAUAAUGAACUUGUAGGUUUGAAAUUUAAGGUUAUCUUUAAAGCUGAUGCUUAUAAAAUCUCACAAGUUAAGCAAUAAAUAAGUUUUUCUUUUGUUUAUCUCAUUCAUUGUUAGAUUUCAAUAAAAAUUCUAUUCUAGACUUUAUCACAGAAGAUUAGAACAUUUUAUUCACAGAGAAAAAGAAAAAGAAAAUUAUAUAUAGAUAUAUAAAUACAUACAUAUAUAUAUAUAUAUAUAUAUAUAUGUGCUGUUGUGUGCUUGUCCAAAGCUUCUGAUUAUCAACACAGCCAAGCAUGAAUGAGCAAAUAUUUCCAGCUCCCCCAACCCAGUAAACCAGCCACCGAACUCUUCAGUCAAAGGGAGUUUCCAAGCUUAUUGUAGAUAUGCUAACCAGCCACCAACUCCUAAAUCCCAGCGAGUGAAAUCCAGCCCUAAAGGAGCUGUAAGAAGGCAUGCACAGUAACAUCAGUAAUAUGCACUCCACUCCCUUCACUUCACCAUGCUCACUGCACUUCAAAGCACUUGCACCACGCCAGUGUUCUUCCUCUACAUUCCCACUGAAACCCUUAAAGUGUGUCCUUUCCUUUCCUCUUACACUCACUUGCUUGUGCUGCGAAGUCUUCGUUUCAGAUGAGAAUAACAUUGUUGAUAUCUGCACAGAAGUGGGUUGUGGCGCUUAAGGCGAGGUCGAAGUCGAAGGGGAUCUGUGGGUAGCAUGUGGAAGAUGACCUCACGUUUUUCUCGGUCUUGCAUGGGAACAAGAUGAAAGGUGCAGGAAGUUCCUGGCGAGUUGGGACAAUUUUAUUGAGAUGCUGUUGCGUCAAAAAGAGGGGCCAGGAACAUUCUUUCAUGGCCACGUUCUAAUGUGGGGAUGAAUUUUGAGAGGCUGCAUUGCGCUUCGUGCCAUGUCGUCCGAAGGGGAUCGGAGUUCGAUGGGUACAGUGGCGAUGUUGUGUAACGUUUGCACAGUGUUGGAUCAAUUGCUGCGUCGAAAGCCGGUGAAUCUUGCGAGCGUCGGUCACUACGGGGAGAGUGUGGCUUGGUGGACCCAAAGCAAUUUUAACCCCUACGGUCGAUGUGUGAGUAGAUAGUGUACUUAUCCAUACUCGUGUUUCGGUAUGUGUGCCGCAUGUGCAGUAUAUUUUAGGCACGAUCACGCAGGUCGAGUCUCUUCGGCAUCACGGAAGCUCUUCCUCGGGCUCAUCAAGUUAAUCCUACGACGUCCACCGAUGGGCGAGAACAGGAAGCUCAGGGAGUUCCAGAAGGGCUCAAAGAUAAUUUAUCUGAAUGCGAUUGCUGCACAGGUACAUGGUGGAGGCAUGCAUCGGGACGGAUCAACUAUUGAACUGUGAUCAAAAUGACGUGCAGCAUUCCCCACCCAAUAGAUUCGUAACGCAGUAAACAAAUCUUCAGUGACAAUCACCACAUAACUUUACUGGAUGUAUUUUCUCCGCAUUUUCUUGGUGAUAUUGAAACAAAACUAUAAAAUAAUGAAACGAUGUGUUCAGAGUAUCAAUUGGUGAUAGAUGCCACUUGCUCCAGUACAGUGCUGCCCCCCUAGUUGGUGAAAGAAAUGUGAAGUGAUCCCUGGUCAGUCAUUUCUUGUCCCAGUUUGUGUAUUCUCAUUCGCGAUCGGAAGACUCGUUCACGCUCGUUGGUAGUAAUUCCUGCAAAAUCGACGACCUCUCAUCGUUCAAGUGCUUUUCUCACACUCGAAUUGUCCACCAUUCAGAUUGUGAGUCCUCUGUGUUAUCUGUAGGGCGUCUAUUUGCUUAGCAUCAAGUUUAACCUGCAACAACGUAGAGUUUGUCGAGAUUUCGAGCAUCAUGCCUUCCAUGGAAGACAGGCGUGUUCUGGAUUUGCCGCUGGAGCGUGCUUGGAAGAUAGGCAAGAAUUCGUUUGAGAUCCUUCCACAGCUGAUGCCUGAAUACUUCGAAAGCAUUGAUCUGGAAGAAGGUGAUGGCGGUCCUGGAAGCGUUUUUGUUCUUACGAUGGGGCCUGGUAUGAUUCCUCCCUCUGUGGUCUUCUCGAGGUUCAUGAUCUGCCUGAAACAAGUUUAUGUUGGAAGUAAAGAACUGUCCAUGUAACAAAGUAUACGCACAAAAACCACUUUCCAGACCCCAGCAAGUUCCCUUUUGUUAAUGGUCUGUUCUGUCCGCUGCUAGUUGCAAAUAUCUAGAGAUUCCCAGUUCAUGAAUCACUACGAACAGAAGGCUAGGUACUAUAACAGCCGCUGACACAUCUCCAUGGUCGGAUAAAACGCAGCAAUGCCAGGGGGAAGGGGGAGAGUUGUGAGGGAGAGAGUGGACAUGCGGGAUGACGAUAGGCACAAACUCAAGCACACUACCAUAGAGGGAGGUGACCCCCGGUACAGCAGCUUCUCAUCCAGCAUCAAAUACGAAAGCGGGCCCUACAGAAACACUACCAUCCGCACCUGGACUGCAAAAUACACACCAGCACCUGGAGUGUGGGCACCCCCUCCGGAGGAUCUCAAGGGCCUCUCAGAGAAGAUAACUGAGACUCUUCACAACUACGCAGCUGAGAAUCCUGACUACUGCGCAUAUUAGAACCUUCCAGAACCAGGAAUCCGAGAAGGAUGCAGACGGAACUCACGAGUAAGAUUUUAACAGUAUAUGUAUGUAUUACGUGCAUCAUAUCUUUAACUGCUGUUAAUGGCUAGAACCUUGUAUGUUGUAAUUGAACGGCCUGUCCGAAAGUUAGGUUUCUUUCGCCUCCAAAUACACAGAUAUGCAUGUGAAAGACAACUGUGUAGCUGUUUUGGCUGGCAGGAAACUAAAACCUCGAGAGGUCUAAAUUAGAAGCAGGUCUUUGAAAGAGUUGGAUGUCAAGUGCUUCUCUUUAAUUCGAGUAUAUAUUGCCGGUCACCACUGAGAAGGUUAGAAGUUCGUAUAUGGACUUGAGUAACAUACAUGCCAAGUCUUACAAGAUACUUAAAUUCUUGGUUCACAAGCUAUCCGCGGCAGUGUUCCAUGGAGAGCUCCAGAAAGGCCUGCAUAUACGGAGCUUUGCUACCACCCACACAAAUCAAUUAUGAAGUGUGUUGGAACAAACCAAUCCGCUCGGAAUCAUACCACCAGAACGCAGUUGGAGCAUCCUAGUCACGGCCUAGGCACAUGUACCAAACUGAACCCACUACAUGAAUGCAGCACAUUGAGAACAUUUGAAAAGAGAACUCGCCUAACUUGGGCAUUGGAAAUAAUUUAUGAAGGGGUCAAAUUACCCAAUUGCAGGCGAUCCCCGUACAAGGAGACCCACCUGACAACUUGUUCAGUUUCCGCUUGUAAGUGUGCUGGUCCGUACUCUCUACUACUUUGAGUGAAGGGAAUUCCAAAGGCCCUAACAACUUCCUCGAUCGUCUGCCUAACUACCCCCUGUCCUGAACCUUUCCCUGUAUACGGCCUGUAAUCAGUAUCGAUUUCCUUUCUACCACCAGUGAUAAGUAAUAACCUUGGUGCGAUUACUGAGCAUGCUGCAGCCCGCUCAGCAACCUCGUCUAACCAAUGCAGGAAAGCUAUUUGCGAGGCACCCUUUGAGAGGCUUCGGAGGUCCAAAGACCACGCUUCGUCGUUGUACUGCGGACGUGGAAAAUCCUCGACUACUUCACGUGCUUCCAGAAACACUAGUCUUGCUCGCAGACGCAAACGUCGUUCCCAUAAAGCGUCGAUCAACGCAUUGUAGAACGAUGAAUUCGAUUUCACUCCUCUCGUCAGUGCAUAAAUUUUAAAGAAGGAUACAACCUCUUCAACAACAGAAUCAGAUUGAAAUGUGAUCGAGGAGACAGAGUCAUCAAUGUGGUGUGUUGGAGGUGGAGGGAGCUCAGAUCUGACAGCAUCAUUGGCAGGUGGCGUAAACACCAGACGGUAGGCUACUUGUAGUGGUUCAAACUGGCUGUUCACCAUUGCCCUAGCCAAAGGUGCGAAUAACUUAUCGUCCGGUUCUCCACAUGCUGAAAUCAAAGUUCCGUAUCCUGCUACGUCGGGUUCAAUUCCUUUUCUCCCCAUCUCGUCUAGAACUGGCGCUGCGUGGGAGUACCAUCGGCCUUUGGUAUAAAGAUGAAGCAUAGCUCCAUAAACAGCAGUAUUAAGUGGGCCUGUUGUGUCUUUUGCUGCUGCCAAGCAUAUCUGGACACAAGAACAAAUUAGUCCAAAAAUAGUGCAGGUGACAUCAGGUUCAGAACAAGAGAAAACUUGUUGUACCAUCAGUUUCGACCAUGGAAACCGGAAAGGGACUAAAUUAAAUUCAAUUUAAACAACAAAACAUUGCAGUAGAAAAGGAAGCGAGAAGUAAUGUCUCAAAAUGAAAGAGGAGCAUGAUUUCUACCUCGUGGCCAUAUCUUGUCCAGCCACGCCGUGCACAUGCGUGAAUCAUGGUGGCAUAUGUGUGACCACUUGGCUCCACUCCAUCAGACAACAUUCUUCGGUAGAGCUCAUCAGCUUUUUCAUAUCGACCAGCUUGAACAACAGCGCUUAUCAGGGAGGUGUAUGUAACUGUAUCAGGGCGGUAACGACACUCGAUGAGGUCUACAUACAACUGCACAGCUUCCUCAUCUCGACCUGCCUUCCCGCAUGCAUCGAUAAUCAUAUUAAAUGCUACUAACGAUGGCUUCAUGCUCUGCCCAACACCACAACCAUGUCAAAACGAGAUCCCAUUACCUGUUGUAGGGUAAUGAGGGUGCUGCAAUGUCCGUUUUUCAGCUGAAAUCACAACAGACUAACAUCCUCAGACUUCUAACUCUAUUGCAAAUAACGACGCUUCAGAGAAGACAAAAUUCCAACACAAAAAUGUGCAGCCCUUACCAGCUUGUAUUCGCGAAAAACACUAAGAGCUUGAUCAGGUUUGCCAGCCCGACAGUAUGCAAGCAGCAAAGCAUCGAACGAACCACAUUUGGCAUCCACGCCUGCUUCUCGCAUUUGCUGAAAGAUGUCCUCCACCAACUCGGCGUGUCCUUUUUUUGCAUGAAGGUGCAUCAGCUUUACCCAAACCUAAUCAUUACCAAGCAGAAAAUAAUAAUUACAAAAGGGGGUCUACAAUUCACACAGAGACAGCACUUUGACGAGGACCCUGCGAUGAAAAUAAUGAAAGAAUUUAAAAUGUUCAUCAAGCCUUAGUAACGGUUAUGGUUGGCUUUCAUUCUCUUAAUAAUUGCAAGAGAUCGUAACGACCAACUGGAUUUCGACACACUUCAACAACAGUACUGCGAGUCAUCACCAGAUGAUAAAUUCGACUCUCUUCUCCAUUCUCAUUGCAACAACUUUGACAAACACAUGAGUGGAUUGCAGUUGACUAAUAUUGAAAAUGUCGACUGAAAACUUAAUGGUAAGAAUUAGGUGAGCGUUCAUUUGACAAUAAUGCACCAAUUUGGAGAUGUAGGAUUUCGCUUAUCAGAAACAACUCCAUGCUCCCAACAGUUGCAUCACAGACAUCUGUUGUUACACUUGUGGAUGCUCAAAAACGAACUAUUUUUCAUAAAUGGACAAUCACUAGAAAUGAGGGUGCGGAGUGUGUAGCUCGAAGGAAAUCAAAAUACCUUUGAGUCAAUCUGGUAAUUGGCUGCUUUCAUCUCUUGAAAAACAAGAUCCGCAUCUUCCGCUACGUUCGCAUUCCAACAUGCUGUCAUCAGCUCCGACAAUACUUUGUAUGAAACUAUGAUAUUGCCGCCACGAACUCCUUGCAAAAGUUGCAUUGCCUUCUCCAGUUGGGGCUUCUUUCCAGCCAAGUAGGCAGUAAUCACCUGCACCAUAUGCCAACAGCUAAAUACGGGCGAAGGUUUUACGUUUGCACCAACUACUGAAGAUGACUGUCUUUUAUAACGAGCCCAUGCCCUGACUUCGCCGCCAGAAAUCAACAGAUAUAAUCAAUCUAACUAGUGUCAAUUUCAUGAUCUACAUCAAAUAUCGACAGAGCAGUUAUUUUGGGUACCGGAGUAUAAUGUAGUGCGUUCAGAUGCAUACCCUUUCAUAAGUGGUAGGAUCAGGUUUAGCUCCAUAUCUUUCCAUUUGAAAUAACACCUGUGAAGCUGGGUGGACAUAUCCCAUACGUCCAUAACCCCUUACAAGAGAAUUGAAGAAAAGAGUGUCUGGAUCUACUCCUAGGCUUCUCAUCUCCAAAAUGAGAGCCUCAACUUCUGCUUCCCUCCCAUGCUUAGCCAGCACUCCUCCAACUGUCGUAAAUGUCUUGAGGAGCUUUAAGUUCCUCUCUCUGCAACCAAUUUUCACAUUGUAGGUUGGUUGAAAGGCUGAAACUCGGAGAAAUUUAAACGACAUUGUCAUGAAAAGAAAAUGCCGUGUUCCAUCCACCUCACAAGCAUUUUAUACACUACCACGCAGAAGUGUUGUUUGAAGGUGCUAUUAUUUACUUGUCAACCACGUCGUGUGAGGGGACUAGCUGUGCUGAGAGGACGCUCUUUGUUUUUACGAUGUUGAAAAUGCUGAGGACAAGUUUCCAAUCGACAUCCCCUAUCUGCGCCAAGAGCUUGUUCCAUUCUUCUGGCGUAAAUUUCCCUGUCCAUGGUGCUAGAGUUCUCUCGACGUCUUCGCCUCCCUUCAAUGCUGCAAUGACCUCCACAAGCUCCGGCCGUCCCACAGUACCCCGUUUUCUUUUUUCUGAUUUUGCUGGCCCGUUCUGUUAAAUCAUAAUGUUAAAACUCUUCAUUAAUCAUCUUGGAAUGUCACAAAUUACAGGCCUCUUACGUCAAUGACCUUUGGUAGGGGGGACUACCUAUCCAAGUUCGGAUUUUGGGAUGAAGAUCAAUGUUCCACUGUAUAUUGUCACAACAUAUAAGGAGAAAAGAGUGUUCCAAUUCCGGUUUUUCUCAAUCCAAAAAAAAAAAAAAAAGAAAAAAAAAGACAUGAAGUAUGCUCAACAAGCACGAAGAUGCCUUGAACAUGGCUGCCAUAAGUGAUAAGUCUAAUAGGCAAUAGCUUUAACAAUAAGACCUAAGAAUCACUUCGAUUUUGAUGUACCAGUAAAGGGUAUCUGACAAUGCCCUGCAGUAUUCACCCAUUGCGGAUUCCAAAGAAGAACCAGAACUAAUCGGUCAUACGUGCCUAAUGACUUAGACAAAAUCCUCAAAUAUGAAUACGACAGACGACAGCAUAAGGUCACGAUGACUUAGAGACCGGUUGCGAGAGAUACUGAUCACUUCUAAAACCACAAAUUCAGUUGAAAUUAGGCAAAUACAGCCUCGAAAUUCCGAAGAACGAAGGAAAGGUAAAAAAUUACCAGCAACUACGCUAGCAAAUGCCGCUCAAUCUAACAAUGUGAUCAUAAGCUAAGUAGAUAACACUCGGCGAUGAUACAGUACAUCACAGUAGGAGUCAGCCACAUAAUAGAAACAGAAAUAAUUCUCUGCUUGAAAAAACAUUGAAUAUCCACGAAAGUGCCAACCACAAAUCAGAACGUGCUUUGAAAUGUAUCACAUUGUAACUCGCAAACGCGACCUGCCAGAACACUUCAUGAACUCCUGUACUCCAAGAGGCAAGAGGAUAGCGGCACUAGCAGUACUCCUUAUGGUAAUUGCUGGUCCACCGAAAAAACUUCUAAGUGCAUAGAAAGCUCAAGGUACUCACAAUCUUGAGACGAGACGAAACGUCGAGAUUCUCGCGAAAUUAUAGAAAAGUAUUAUCUCUCAAGCUAUGCGACAGGCAGAAAAUAUUCCCUAAAGAGACCAUGACACCAAAAUGCACCCCUAAUACAGAGAAAAAAUAAAAUAAUAAAAAAACAGACUCACCUUGUCCGCCUUCACCGUAUUCACCUGCGCCUCUCCGACUGACGCGUCCUCGCCGGUAUCUAAAACCUCCGACUCAAAAACCCCCGCGACAGCGCACAAGCGGCACCUGCCCCCGACCUUCGUCACCAAAUCCUGCCAUUGGCACGCCUUGACACCACCUCCAGCUUGCAACCCGCCCGCUCUGAGCCCAAUCCAGCUCACUCUCGCACUCACCCCAUUGCUGUGGGCAACAACAACACCGCCACUCUUGUGACCCGUGGAGGCCGACGCCGCGAUGUUCAGAGACGAAAACUCCAGCAGCAUGGAAGCAGCGCAAUUGGUCAUUGGAAGAACCUCAAUUGCGCACACAGGAAUUCCCCCCUUCCCAAGGGCACGCAGGGGAAUCCGAGAGCAAUGAAACGACGACGAUGAUGUUGAUGAUAAUGCUCACAAGCAGGAAUGUGGCACCACUUGAAUAAUAUUUCCUGCGCCGGGGGUUUGUUUGGCUUUCCUACCGCUUCUGCAUCAGAGCAAGCAAGCAAACAAACAAACAAGUAAACAAAUUGUGCCGGUGUGUGCAACACUUAGAGUCGUAUCUCUCUUUACUGCCGAGGAGGAUGGAUACGUAUCCUAUCGUAUGUGUACAUUGUAGUCGUAUCAAUACGAUUAUGAGGUAGUUCUGUGGCGUAUCCGAUGGUUGUUGGGAACGUGGGGUUUUUGUGUUCCAUUAUCUUGUUCCCGAUGAGAGACUUGAGGCUGGGAUUUUGCGUUUGCAUUGGGAGCUUGUGUUGGUGUGCUUGUGGACCAAAUUCUUAAAGAAUGAAGUAUUGUAGUAGUUGUAGUAAUAGUAGUAGUAAUAGUGGUAAUAGUAGGGGACUUCUAAAUAUUAGAGUUAGAAAAUUUAAAGAGGCGUUGUUCUUUACAUGAUGGUGUUCCAAAGAAAAAAUUAUAUAUAUAUAUAUAUAUAUAUAUAUACAUGCAUACAUACAUACAUAUUUUAAGUGCAAUUGUGCAAUGGGUUCUUUAUCUUGGAACGUGUUGUGUAUUAUAUAUUAUAUCAAAAUUAAUGUAGGCACUUUUUUCUAGAUUAUAUAAAAUAUUUUAUAAAUAAAUUUUAUUCAAUUAUUAAUAUUUGUCAUUUUUCCGCUUUUAAAGGUAUUCAAUCUUCUUCUCGUACACAGCAUAUAUUGGAUGCAUGUAUCCAUUGAAUCAAGAUUACUUUGAUAUAUUUUAAAACUAAGAUAAGUUAAAAUAUAUUAUAAAAUCUAUAUGACACGAAAAAUAUCUUAAAAGUCCAUAUCAUAUUUUUGUAAUUUAGACUGAAAUUAUUGUUGCUUUUUGAUGUAAUUGAAAAUAUAUUAUUAUAAAUUUAAAAUAAAUACAACUUUCAAUUGAAACUAGAAAAUUGCAAUAUGAAUGGAUGAAAACAAAUAGGUUUAAAACACAUAUAAAUAUAAAUAUAUAUAUAUACAAACAUAUUCAUAUUAAAAUUAGUCAAAAACUUUACUGUCUAUGAAAUUUGAUAGCAAAUAUUCAAUUGGUUCACUAAUAAAUUUUGUAGAAAAUAAGAGUUUACAAUUAUAUAGACUAAAAACUAUGAGAAUCUACAAUUGAUUAAAUACCUAUAAGUUGAUAACAAUCUUUUGAUUAAAUACCAAUAAAUAAAUAAAAAUACUAAAGAAUUAUAUACUUAGAUAGAAUAUGAUAUAUAUAUUAAAUAAUAAUAAUAAUAAUAUAUCCAUUUACUAAAUCAACUCACUUUAUUGAAACUCAUCCCCACCUCCCUCAUUCCUAAUCCCCAUUGCCUCUAUUUCCAACCUCCCUCCCCUUUGUUCCCCUCUCAUGUUUCCAACUCUCAUCUUGAUCUCUCUUAUUUUCCAUAAUAAGGUGGAUUAAUUUAGUAAAUUGAUGGAUCAUUUUACCGUUUUCUUGCUUAUAUAUAUAUAUAUAUAUAUAUAUAUAUGAUAUUUAAUAUUGUAGUACUUUUUAUUAUUAAAAAAUACUAAAAUAUUAGAAUAUUUAAUAUAACUAUUAUAAAGAUCAUAUUAUAUCUAAAUAUGCAUAGAUAUCAAGUUAUGUUUAUUUUUUAUGAUAUUUUAAUAGUAUUUUAUUUGAUUAAUUUUUAAAUAUUUAUGAUUUUUCAUUUAAAAAGUUACACCAAAAUAUUUUCAAUUUUAAAUCUAUAUUAAAUUAUUAAAAUUAAACUAAGAGAUAAAAUUCCAUCAAUUAUAACUAUCUAAAUCUUUUCAUCUUCAAAGAAAAAUUUGGGAUCUAAGAACAAUUAAGUUCUAUUAUAAAACUAAAAGCUUUAAAGUUUAAUUUUAACUUGUAGUAAUAUUUAAGCAGAUACCGACAUUAAACUUACAACUAAAAAAUCAAGUAUUCAAGAAUAAUAUGUGUAUCAAUAAUCCUUUAUUUAAUAUAUAAAUAUAUUUUUACUUAUCUAUCUUUAUUGAAUGUAAUGACACAAAUUAGAAAUAAUAGCAUCUUGUUUAAAUUUGUUUAUAUAACAAAACUUAUUUCCUCUUUAGCAAUCAUAUUGUCUCUGUAGAUGAAUGGGUACAAUUCUACUCUAAUACCAAAACUUUGAGGUACUAAAAGAUUUGACUAUUUUAGACCAUAAAUAGAUUUAUUAUAACAUAUUUUAAGAUAAAUAAAAUUUUAAUUUAAAAUACAUAUAUAUAUAGAAAUAAAGUAUUUUUAUAAAAUAAAUACAUUAACAAACAAACAAAAUGAAGUAUGUUAUACUCAAAAUAGAUAAUUACUCUUAACUUCAUUCCUACUCCACUACUUUCAAUCAUGUAUGUCUUGAUUAUCUAUUCUUUUUUCUUUUUUCUUUUUUACAUUUUUGAUGUAAAAUUAAUCCAACUUAUUCUUUGUGGAUUCCCUUUUAAGAAUUUAACAAAUAAAAAUUAAAAAAAAAAAAAUACAUCAUAAAAUACCACAACUCUAUGAUAUUCAUGAAUGCAUAUCAAAUAAAACAUGAAUAGAAAUGGACUUAUUCACACAAUAUAAUACCAAAUAUAAAUAUUUCUAUUUGCUCUCUGUAAUCCCAACAACAACAUGAAUUUCAUCAAAUAGCAUACAAUGCAAAUAUAAAGUAAAUAAAUUAACGGCUAUCAUUUUUUCAUAUGUAGAAAAUUGUUGUCCAAUAUCCAUCUCACUCCAUCAACAAUCAAGAUCAAGUUAUAAAAUGCACUUGACCUUUCAUUCCAUUAUUUCCAGCUUCCGCCACAGUCCUUCCAAAGAGAUGAAAUGCAAAUAUAAACAUAUAUCAAACAUGACAUAUCACCAUGAGAGAGAGAAAGAUAUAUAUAUAUAUAUAUAUAUAUAUGUGAGAAAAAGAUGUGCCACGGUGGGUAAGCAGGAUUGUGCAACAUCAGUAAGUGUGUGAGUAAUUGUGUGAGUGAGAGAGUGGGGGACAGAUAGAUUCAUGGUGGGUGUUGUUUCGGAGCCAUUCUUGAGCAUUCUUCUUGUGUGCAGCAAUCGAGGAAAGCCAUCUGAUAACAUAUUAUGUGUUGCCACAAACCCAGUUGAUGAUGAUGAAGAAGAAGAAGAAAAAGAAGAGGAGGGCUACAUUGAUGAGCUUUAGGUGCUUUUCCUGGUUCCAUGCACGCUGGUUGCACUCCAUCUUAAGUAUGGUCUUGUGUGUGUGUGAGUGUAUAUGUGUGUUCAUUUGGCAAAAGUGGAGGAGAGGUUUUGGUGCACGGCUCAAAAUGAGGUUUUUCGAUUGCCGAAGCAUGUUUUCUGUUGUUUUUGUGUGCCUUGCAAUGAGAAGGAUCUGUGUAUCGAGUGCGGGAGAUUCUGUCAGACAUUUCAAUGAAGCUAUGAAAUGGUUUCGCACUUUUGGGUCACAGCGGUGAUUGUUUUUGUAGCCGGGCGUGAAGCUCCUUUUCGGUGCUGUGUUUUCGACUCGUAUCAAAUGAUUCCGCGGUCUUUAAGGCCGGCCAGUUGCGCAAAGCCCUUUAGUCCCCCAUCGAACAUGUCCGACAGCUUCUUGGGUUUUGUAGCUGGUGGCACAAAUGGGCGUCUGCACAGGACCGAUUGUGAUGUGAGAUGGGUUGUAGGUGACACAUAUGUGCAGCCGACCACUGAUUUCUAGCUGUCUAUCUUGAGAAGCAGAAGGGGCGACCUGGACGGAUCUUCUGCCGGUGUGGAAUCGUCUGGGUUGUCGGCUGCUGGUAGGAAAAGGUUUGCGGUGGCCGUGCUUAAGCAAGGGUUGCCAUUUGUGAGUGGAAGUUGUGUGGGCGAAUACAUUCCCAGAUGCUGCAGCCGGAUUCUUGCCAGCUUGCUUGCCAAUUCCGAAUCACCCACCUGCGGGGGACACCAUGUUAUCUGUCGGACUGCAGUUUCCAAUUCACCUAUGUCCAGGUUUACAGUAAUUUGGUUUUGAAACCAUAUGAAGGAUGGUACCUUGUUGUUCGCACACAAGGCCACAUCACGUGCCGUGACGACACUCUUCACGCGCUCGAGCACAUUUGUUCGUCGCUGCGUCUUCAGCUCCUCCUCAACAGCGGCCUUGUCACUCCUCAAUUUGCUGUUAUCAAUCAUCAGUUGAUUCACAGUGUUGACCAUAUCCAUUUUUUCCAUCGGGAGGCGGCCUUUUCUUGCAUGUCCUCUGAAGAACUGUGAGUGCAGAUUAUUCGUUAAAGCCGUAAGCCUUCGUGCAUGAAGCUGGUUGAAAAUACUAUAAAGUUGCAGAACUGAAACGAAGGGUGGUGAUAGGGAUUGAGAUCAGACCACCUUUUGGUUUAGUUUCAGCAUCUCUAUUUCGGAUCCCAAUGCCUCAUUUUCCUGAAGUCAAGAUUUCACAUAGAAUAUAGUUUUAGUUUGAUUGGGAGCAAACCCUCUCGUAUUGCAUGAGGUUGAAGUGUGCUUGAAAUAGCAACCUUUCUCAUGUGAUAAAUCUCUGUGACAAGCUGAGAACGGGCUGAGGUUUCAUAUUUGAGAUCAUCUUCAAGCCGAUGCCGGGAGGCUUCAAUGGUGGUAAUAUGGUGAUGCAAUGACUGGAUUUCUUGUCGCAAUUGAUCGUGUUUGAUGCUGCGAUCAGUAUCCGCCUGCUCAUACAGCUUCAACGUCGACUGCAUCUGCUCAAUUUUUGCAGAGUAGAGGUCCUGUACCAGUUUCCGCCGAUGUUUUCCUUUAAACGCUGGGAACAAAUAUCAUCUACCGAUACUCGACACAAAUUUUGGUAGAGAGAGGUGUGAAACAUUUUCUAUACCUGUAACGCGUGAAUCUCUUGCCUCAGUACUUCAUUUUCAGGGUUGGACCCAAUGGCGCCGGUUUUCUUCUCAGGAUCUGAGGCUGCCUGCAGAAGGACCGCCGACAUCUUCUCUCUUGCGGCUGCCAAAUCAGCUUUUAGCUCGUCAUUCUCUUGGAUCAACUGUAAAAUUACGCAUACCAUCAGCAUAAGUGACCUCGUGACCCACUUAUAGUAAGCAGCAUCAAGAGCAAAUCUGACAACAUUGGCUCAACGCAAAUACGACUUGAAUAUGGUCACCAACCUUGCCACGAAUGAGAACAAGGGUGUCGUUUUUGGCAUCCACAAUUACUCGCAGCAAUGCAACCCCCGCCUCCAAUUUAUGCAUCUGGAGAUUCACACGUUCAGUGAAAACAGGUCAGAUGAAGUGCACAACAUUCCAUUUUGUCGCAACCACCUGUGAUUUAAAUGCAGAGUAGACGUGCGAUGUGAUGUCACUUUAGCACUUCUUGGGCACUUGGAUAUGCACCUCAUCUAUUAGUUUUUGUGAUCCAUCUGAGUCAAAGUUAAUUCUCUGAGAUUUUUCUUCAGGGUUCUUCUGAUCCUCAACCACCCUGAAAUUCGGAAGCACGUGCCUUUGAAACGCGUCCACAGACUGCACGAUGCUUGUUGCUAUGCAAGUGCACUUUGCCACAACAGAUCCUAGACUACGCAGUCGUCCACCGCAAGUCUGUUCUUCAUCCACGAUCUUCUUUCUCAAUCCCUUUAUCUCGGUCACCAACUGCUCCUUCUCACGGAGAAUCCUCUCCUUUUCUGCGGCGGCUUCAGCUCUACUUGCAGAUGCAGGCUCUAACUGUGCCUUUAGGCGCUCUACCUCGCAUUUCAAUUUAUUUGUAGAUGCGUUCACCAGAGAAGUCAUUUCCACUUCUCGAUGCGCUCGCAGUCUUUGGAGCUCAAGUCUCUACGGGUUUGAAAAACGAAGGAAAGUGAACAAUCUCUCGUUAAGGCUUCCAACUGUGAGAAAGUCUUUAAACUUUGAAAAUCGGCGUGCGUAUCAAGGUUGUGUAAACUCACUUGAUUUUGCUCCCGGUUGAUUAGGUCAUUGAGCUGAAAACGAAGAAUAUCGUUCUCCUGCUGCAGAGAUUUCGCCAAUAUUUCGGCGUUCAUCGCACGAUUACUGGAGCUUUUCAUUUUGGACUGUGAUCAAACAAUUGAAAAGAACUUAUCAAGGGGCUUGACCAGACUCUCACUCUCUCUCUCUCUCGAUAUAAUAUGCAUAUACAUGUACCACGCAAAAAACUGAUUAUACCACACAGAAAUUACCCUGACAUCAAACAUCGUACCCGAAUUCACUGACGAUCACUCAUGGCUUCGUAGUUACUCGCUGAGCACGAAAACAAUGCAUGCGAAGUUAGAUUGACGCUCAAUGUACAUACAAGAGCGAAAUUUGUACGGAGGUAUACAAAGCAUCACGGCCCAAAUGCAGUAACAAAUCAAUACACGAUUGUGGCGACAUGCCAAGAAUGAUUCUACAAUUAGAAGGCAGAAUUACAACUUUUCAUGCCAUCCAGCAAGAUCGCACUAUCUUUUUAUUCUCUUAGACGUCAAGCGCACAAGCCUUUUGAUUUAGCUCUAACGCACUAACAAACAUUUCGCAACUCCGAUUGCAGAGUAAAGUUGGUGCUGCUGCUGCUGCUGCUUCAACCCCCUUCUCUGGGAUAGAGAUCAUCUGACUAGUUAAUAUGGUGAGCUUGGGUGCUGGCAACCUCAGGCAAUUGGAGGGUACAAUCUGCAAGAGGUUUAAGUAUCCCCAGAAGCAGAAUUCGGAAGACGAUGACUGCAGAAUGCUCCACAGUCACACGAGAAUAAUCCAACAGGUUUUAUACUUGACGAAGAGGUGGUGUGAUGUGGAAUGUUUCUGCUACGAGGAGUGCUUGCUUCCUGCCGCCCGAAAGGAUCUUCAUCUUCGCCUUCAUGAUUGUUGUUUCCUCACUUGAGAUGAAAAUUAUGAACCUUCUCACAGACCUCUCACGGUUCCGGAGUAUAAUCGAACCCAUGCACAUUGGAGCAAUAUAGUCUUGGCCUCCUCUGUGGUCAAUGGCUGAACCCAGUUCAGAAUUAAUACUCCCCAACGUAACGCACUGUAGCAAAUGUUCGUAUAAAAUCGCACGGACAAACUGUGGCAUGCCACUGGAGAAGAUAGAUAUCACCCAGUAUCCGCUUUACCACAAUUUGUUGUUGGAUUUGCUGUGCCGUAUUAUUCCUUGAGCUUAGAAAACCACCACAACGAAUGCGUAUGAAUGUACUGAAUCGGAAAGCCCAUAACCACUCGGCAGAGGGCCUCUUCGUGGAACUGAAUAUAACUCCCGAGUACUAACGACGACCUAUCAGUUCUAUCUAAUCUGCCUCAUCACCUCCAUCUUCGCACACGGGUUCUCCUCAACCAUUCUGCUGAAAUCAAGACCUAAACGGGAUCUGGAUUCCGCCAUCUUUAUCACCCAUGUUACAAUGCUUGUGCGUCUCAUCAAGCGCGCUUCGAAAACCGGGAAGUCUCGUUUUCUGUGACCUUUCGUCAGCAGUUGCUAAUCGCUCCGAAUAUGUUCGUGGAAGAGGAAUACGGAGACGUAAUUGGACAAGGAAGGCAAUGCCGGUCGAUCAGAAGGACGAGCCUUCAGCAUAUUCCCCUGCCAUUGAACCGACCCAUGUGCAAAACACCACAGAUUCGCUUGACUGUAGCCACUCUCACACAAAUGCAUGAGCGAGGUGACGAGAAUCGACACGGAGCCGGUACCCUGAACAACAGGGACUCAGAGUGAGUUGUAAAUCUCCCCGCGCCGUGCACAUGACGUCGAAAUUUCCCCGAACCCAUGUGAGAAAAUGGAGAGAAGAGGGGAUUGUUGGCAUAUUCCGCUGUGCCCACAAUUCCGAGGAUGCGAUGCAGUGCGAUACUGGUGCGGUCUUUGGGAAACGAACAAAUAAAGUUGUUAACUUUGGGGUUCCUGUGGCAACUGACCCCUUUCAUGCCGCGUGACCACGGCGUAUCCGUUCACACCGCGUCACUUGUCCAGCUCGCUCAUCCUCUGUGGAUGACGUCAUUCAUCCGAGCGUUUUUCAUUUCGCUCUUUGUCGUUCGCUGCUUUGAGUUGGAUUCUUUGCUUGGGGGUUGUUCGCAAAUUGAGAUUAGAAAAUUGGGUUGUAUUUCAAAGUGGAAACACGUUUUUUUAGAAUCUAAAAAUAAAUAGAAUCUUGUAUCUUGUUCAAAAUACAAAUAAAUAUACACACACAUAUGUAGUCAUUUGUUUAAUUAAAAUUUGUUUUAAAAGAACUCAGAAAUGAUGUGUCCUACAUAUUUUAAAAGCUAAUCAACGUUUUGAAGCUUAAAAUUCUUUUUCAAGUAUGAUUUUCCAUGUAGUUGGAAAAAUAUCAAAAACUUAAGAAAAAAAAACAAAACAAAUUUUCUUACUUCAAGUUGCCAUUUUUUUUUUUUUUUAAUUAUAUAGUUUCAUCUCUGUUUUUAAUAACUUAUUACAAUACAUUGAUCUAUACUUAAAUACAGAAAAAGAGAUUCAAUUAACAAAAUAGAAGCAUUGAAGCAAUACACAUUUUGCAUUAAUGUUUCGGAAGGUUAAGAUUAUUGAUGAUUCUACAAUUAACCUUGAUAGGAUGCUUUGCAUUGCUUAGAAAACCACAAUGACAACGUCCAAAUUGGAGGCUACAUUGUUUCGCUGCAAUUACCUAAGCGUUAGGAUUUUAUUUUUUUAUUUCUCAUUCAUUUUCUAAUGUUAACUAAGAGAUUUCCAGAUAUUUGUAAAUUAACUGAAAACUGUACAUUAAUUGCUAGGAAAAUGUGCUCUUGAUCCAAUCAAAUAUUUAUUCCAAGGGCCUAUUAUGAAUGUGGUAUUCAAGCCAAGGUAGUUAAGCUCCAAUUUCAUAAGAUAUUUCCCAAGAUCUUGCAUUGUCCCCGUUUCAACUUCACUAAGGAUAUAAAACCCUUAAGGAACCACUUUCACUAAUUCUGAUCAGAAUUUGCGUGUUGGGAUAUGCAUAUCUUCAUACACCAUGAACCCAGUUGAUGGUAACUCAAAACAUAGAGACUAACUAAUCCCAGGAUGGUACAUAUAUGGAAAAUGUGGGACAAUAUACCCUGGUACAUGAAUUAAGAGCCAGCACAAGUAGGAGGCGCUGUAGACCCUUGUUUGAUGCACUGCACAUCAACACAAAACACAACGCACAGCUUUAUAACUGUUGUCAUACUUAUUGGAUUCCCAAUAAGACACCCUCACCACUCAGAGAAGCUGGAAUGGAUGUGAGUAACCUGAACAAAGAAGACUGUGUGAUUAACCAUAUCAAACGAGUGAUAUUAGUGUGACAGGCAUUGAUCUGAUUGAUGUCUACAAUCCGUGAAGUUCAAGGAUCAAGGACUCGAUCUAAGUGGCAACAAUUGAUCGACAUGAAGGGAAAUUACCUCCAAGAGAUAGCUGUGCAUCCAGUCCAAUGUCUGUGGGAACGUUGUGGCGGAUAGGUUCACUACCGUCAUUCCCUGUUACAGUACAGAAGCUGACCAGUUAGACCCACAUGACGGAAUCAGUGCCUAAAGAUUUGACUAAAACCUAUCUUCGGUGUGUUGAAGCUGCUAGACAAUUAGAAAUUUGGAAGGUUUUGAUGUUGGUACUUGUGACUCAAAAGAUGUGAGAUAGUCCUGAAUAGUUUGAAGUCUUUUGAUCAAAGCUUCCUUUUCCUGCACGACAUCCACAUAAUCAAGAGCGUCGAGAAUCAAAUGUCCACUUUCCAGAGAUACCAUCAUCUUUGGUGAAACCUGUUUAUAAAAUUGACAAAACAAAUUCACAUGUGGAUUUCGACCGUUCACUCAAAUUUACCAGUUGUAAAUGUAUUCUUCACGAUGAUCUGAAGGGCAACUUACCGCAACAGAGAGUUUUUCUCCGGUUUCGGCGGCACGUGCAGCGAUCCACUCUUCCAGUAGAGUCUGGUUAAUACAGAAAAAUAGAGAUGUUUUGAGAUCAAAUGUACAUCUAGGUAGAAAUCAUUUUCAAACACAACUGAUAUUACGAUGGCUACAAGAACCAAGUUCGAGUCAAAUAAAACUCAUCGAAUGCGCACAAAAACUAGUUUCAGGGAAAGGGUAAAAUUCCAAAGUAGUUGCCAAAUCACAUGCCUGGUGAUCAACAUCAGCCAUCUUAAGCACGACAGGCACAAUAAUGCACUUCGGUGGCGUCCAUUUGGCUGGGGAUUUUGCCUCUUCUUUGGUCACUGCAGCUUCAGCGGUAGCUCCUGCAAGCUCAACAAACAUUCGUAAGACAAUUUGGAGAUACCGAGGUCAUUGAUGAGCAUCUGAUGUAGAUUAUCGCGAAGAUUAGAACCAGAAUUAUUUUUUUAAAAUAACAAUAAUUAUGAUAACAUAAACAAUUAACUGAAAUCAAAUAUUAUCAUCAACAAACUGAUUAGCUAUUUGGAGACAUUUGAUGAGUAAGAUUGGAAUAUGGAUUCACUUUUACCAUCUUUGUCGAUUCCCGCGAUUGCCACCGAAUUGGCUGCUGCAGGUACGGCCUUAAUUUGUAACGUACCACUCCCGAACCCGCCACUUUCCUCGUUCAUUAGAUAGAUCGAUGGAUCCAAAUGAAGCCCCUGCGACCACACUAUGCUGUUGUAAUGAAGUAGUCUCAAUUUCGUUUAAGAGGUGCAGAGACAAACCAAUCAAGGCUUCUGAUUACGUGAGACUUUUCACUUCUCUACAGAUAUAUCAUAAAUACAGGACACAAUCGAAGCUCAGUGAGAUUAGCAUGAUAGGCCCUGCCACUAAAUUGAGUUUCAGAAAGUGAUUGUAAUUUAGGGCUGAUGCACCGCUCAAAAUUAAUACCAGAUAUGAUUUAGACUUCCGUUCGUUCUAUCAUUUGUAUUGCAUGGUAUUUGAAUAAUGUGUUGUUCAUUUUGUACACCACUCAUAAUCCAAUGACGCAUUGUAUAAGUUGGAGACGGUUACCUCAAUAAUCACUGGCUUCCCAUCUUUCAUCGCCUUCUUUAGAUCACCGUCAAGACCUAGUGAACACAAGAUUAGAAUCAGACUAUGCUCUGAGCAAGUCCAAUAUCUCUCAACACUAUUUAGUUCACAACUAAAUACUUGAGAUCUGAAAAGUACAGGAUAAAUGUACACAAACACCUCCUCCACAUACAUGCUUUGCAACCGAUGUAGAUGGGAAGGAGGCCAUCAAGAAAAGAAAAAAAACGCCACGCAAAGGAGAAUUAUAGGAGAAAGGCAGCAAACCUUUGCGGACGAUACGGCAUUCGCGGCAAAACUCUGUGACCAGCUCCUCAGACGAUGCAAAAUCUCGAGACCAAACAGGCUUAGAUGCAAGAGGAGCACUGUUCAACGCACUGCUCAAGGCAUGGAUUCAGAAAUCAGAACACAAUGUCCGUAAAAUCUUUAACAUGUAAAAAUGCAGACAGAAAACUUGGCGAAGGAAGAAAGAUCGAUGGCUCGCAAUGAAGAUAGGAGAGUGUUUUCUUACUCUGAGGAGGUGCGAAGUAAUUCGUAGACCAUAUCAGUCUGCGGAUAUAGAGCCAUUCGCAGCGUAAGAGGAAGAUUUAUGAACAAAAUUCACGUCAAACAGAGAAACAAGUGGCGUCCCCACCAAGAUGGUCCUACUGCUUUCAGUGAGACGAACAAACCUGCAAGACGUUCGGUAAGUUAAGGCGCUGGGCAAGUUGAGUGGCCAGAGUGGACUUGCCAACACACGCAGUGCCGCACACAAGAAUAAUGAGUGGCAACCUUUGGUGAUGAAACCUGAUUCACAAGGAGUAGAGAUUGUUGGAUAAUAUAUAUCAGCUGACAUUAAUAUUGAAAUUUAAACGCAAUCACACCCCAAUAAAACGAAACAGUGAUCGAGCUAAUCCAUGGCUCUCAUUCGUGACACUGUAUUGUCUGAAGGAAAAUAAGGGUAAAGAGUACUUGAGAGGAAAUCAGAUCUGCGUGACCGUAAUUAGCAUGAAAGAUGGAGGCGUAGUAUCCACCUCGUCAUCAUUUUGUAACGCUCAAUGUAUUCAGCGCCAUAACCACGUCGCUCCAUCAGCUGUACACAGCAACAUAUCACUUCAGAAACAGAUUGAGAAGCUAACCUUCAGUUAAACAACAAGAAGCUUGAGUUUUUGAAAAGUAAAACAAUCCGAUGUGUUGGUUGAGAAAAACCAAUCUACGACGCCCAUGUACAAACUUGCAUUCCCAAAGAAUGCAAAUGUGAAAAGGUGCACCAUACCUUAAAUAAAUUGGCCUCCAGGUCUGACUGCGACCUAUCAGUACCCAGCAAUUUCCCAAGUUAGAAAACAAGUUCCAUUACCGAUCCUCGUCCAAAAACAUACGACUGACGCAUUCUAGUACAGCUCUUGAAAGCGUUGACACUAAGACAUAGUACAUACAAAAUCGCCCCAAGAUGCAACUUUUUUUUAAUUUGCCUGAAUGAGGGGCCUUACACAUCAAGCAAGCUGUUGUCAAUGAGUAAUUUCUUGAGCUCCAGAGAGAUCUUAAUGGCGACGUGAUUUGGAAUCUGAAGUGAAAUUAAUCCUGAUUUUAUCAAUACACCACAAGUGAUCACAAAAAAUUGACAAGAAACGGACCAAUUUGCGUACGUGAGACUUUCAGAUUCGCGAACAACUAGAAGCAGGCAAGUUUACCCUGGCUACAUGUGAAACCCGUUCCGUGAUUGUUCAUCAAUUUUUGCAAGAAUGACCCGGGGGAGCAGGGUGGGGUGUGGAAAUGUGCAAUACCUUCGUAACUAGCAGCAUGCGACUGAUCAAAAACCGCGACAAAAUAUAAUAAUGAUCUGCAUUGGACCCCAACCACACCUUCACCUGCAUCCCACUCUCACCAAGAUGCGUCAAUAGCAUACCUUCUACCGGCCUUUCCCAAGACCCACGGAAUUAUAAACGUUUGAAGGGGCAAUUUCGCGCCAAAUCAGUACUGUGUUCAGAAUGAUCAGUGCACUUGAAAACCCAGGUGGGCAGAACCAUCCGAACAAUGUUUUCAUUCUCCCUCAAACCUAAUGUAUGCUCUACAACCAAUCACCUAACUGCAACAACAGCUUUCUGUGCGGUCAACGUGCGAGGAACGGCUAGCUCACACUUCCUCCCGACACAGAAUUAAGAUUUCCAGAGAAUGGAAUUGUUCUCACAACAAUUUCCGAUAUUCAGAGCAGAGAUUUUGGCAUGGAUCUAGACGCGCAAGUUGUCAGCUGCCGACACACUACCAUCCUUGAGAAUAAGCUUGAGAGAAACGGCGAAACGGAACAAACCUUGACGAAAUCAUAUUUGGAAGCCGUCCCUCGGGCGGGUUGAGAUCCACUCCCUUGCGAUACAAGAGAAGAUUUCUCAGCAUUCCCAACUGUUGUGGUUGAUUCUUCCACCACCGCCGCGCCGUUUGUAAUGGACGUCAUGACUCUCUUCCUCUCUCGCUCCCUCCCUCCCUCCUCCUCUACAGAUCCACUCAAACACUCCAACAACCCGCUCUCAACCCGAAUGCCACAAGCCUAAAAGAAUAGCUGCUGAGUCCACCCUUCCAAAUAUACGCGAAGAAAUUUCCGACAGAAGCGAAUGACGACGCUGCGGACAAGGUCAAAUAUGUACCACGAGCUCUCUUUUACUACACCCGUCUUGCGUAUACCCCCGCACCCACUUGGCGAAUGGCAGGUCCUGGGGGAUAAGUUACUGUGGCCGCAUCGCAGGGCGGAAUUCUCUGGCGCAAUAUGUGAUGCCAAACGUGGACCUCUCUUUCUCUCUCUGUGUGUGUUUUGUGGAAUUUGUGGGUGCUGAAGUUGUCAGGAUUAUGACCUUGGCUUGAUUCAAAAGGUAUGGGAUGAUAAACCCGAUGAUGCGAUGCGUGAAGAAUCCUUUGGGGAUAAAACAGAUCCAGCGCUAUUUCUUUCUCUCUCCCUUCAGAUCUGCCCCCGUCCUCUUCACCGGUUGUGGCCGAAGCCCUCGCUCUCUCCCCUUCGCGCGCUUCGACGCUGUAAUUCUCCGCAUUAACGAAGCCACGGUGAAAGGUGUCACGUGCUCCGUCGAAAAAGGCCUCCCCGACGGUCAUACCCACCACAUGCACGCACGCCCCUCGAGGUUUUCUUCACCAAUUCUUAAGGCACUACUCAAGCCUUUAAAAAUAAUAUAUAUAUAUAUAUAUAUAUAUGGUGAUGAUAUCAAUACCCUUUUUAAGAAAAGUUUUCUUUGUCAAACCAUGAGAUUUAUUUUUGUGAGACUUUAUUUCUAAAUAGUAUUGACAACAACAACCAUCACCAAUUAUUUAGUUUCCUUAAUUAUUGUGGAUUAUGAAACAAACAAUGUUGUGAAUGUUGCUGUGUGCUUCUGUAUAGCAAGCAUUCUUGUGUUUAAAUUAGUAGCAAGAUAAGGGUUGUGAUUUAGCAUGCAAGUAAUAGAACAAGAAAAAUUGUUACAUUAAGAUUUGAUAUGUUAAUAUUUGUUCAAGAAAAAAUUGGUAGAAGGUUCGGAUAUGUUUCAAUCAAUUGUAUGUCAUGAUUUUUUUUAAGUUCUCAGCUUAUGUUGUUUUAACUUUUUAAUAGUUCAUGCAAUCAUACUAUUGAUGUUAUUCCAUAAUGUUUAAGAUACUUUGAAAAUUAAUGCAUGAUAACACGAUAUUUAAACAUGCAUGUAUGUAUAAAUAUAUAUAUAUAUAUAUAUAUAUAUAUAUUUAUAUAUAUAAUUCAAAAUAGGCAAAAAAAAAAAAUCUGUAUGUAAAUUUUGUUUAAGAGAAAACAGAUUAUGAUCAAUGCCUAUAAUAUGAACAAACAUAAUAAUGAUAAUCAUAGUGAAAUGAUAUAUUCCAAAAAACAUGAGAAAAGUAGCGAAUUCUUUUUUGUAUUUUUGUGCAUUCUAGACAUCUUGAAACAUACUUUAAAUGGAUAUGGUAUGUUGAUUCUUUAUAUAAAAAAAAUCAUAAAAUUAAUGAUAAAAAAUAGGAAAAGUUAAUGUAAUUAUAUAUUGAGGCUUUAAUAAAAUAUAUGUAUAUAUUCUUUGACAGAUAGGAUUUAUGUUUUUGAAAAUGAUUACAUAUGUCAAUAACAAUGAAGGAAAUUAAAUAAAACCUUUUUUUCAUGAUCAGUUUAUAGUUAUUAUGGUCAUUCAUUUUUUGUAGUAUGUUAUUGAUUAUAAGCAUUCAAUGUUACAUGUAUUAUUUUAAUCUGAACCAAAAUUGCAUAAAUUUUUUUAUUAUUUUCUUUUAAUUUUUUUUUUGGAAUUUUCUAAUGUCACUACAUUUUUUGCUACUACCACCGCAAUCCUUCAUCUAACAAAGGCCACCUGAAUUCAAUACCUUCCAAACCAUCUGAUUCAAUUUAUUUCUCUCUCUCUCUCUCUCUCUCUCUCUCUAUAUAUAUAUAUAUAUUUAGAAUAAAAAACUAAAAAUAUAUGUCAAAUGGAUAGUGGUGGUUGUAGCAAAAGUUGUGAUGGCAUAAGCCAUACCUUAAAUUUCAAUGGUUAUUUUAGACAAAUGAAUUAUUCUUUAUUUUUUAAAAAAUAAAAUAUUAUAUAUAUAUAUAUAUAUAUAUUUUCUAUAGUAUUAUGUAUUAACCUUCAUAUAUUUUAUUUAUUACUUAUUUGAUUAAUGGAAAUUAUUAUUAAAAUAAAAAUAUAAUACAUAGAUUAUUGUUGAAUGUAUGUAAAUAGUUACAUUAAGUUUUUAGACACAUAGGCAAUAGCUUCUAAUAAUGCACAAUAAUAACCUAUGUAUGAUGCAUCUUUACAUAUUAAGGCUUCAAAUCCUACCACAAUAUAUAUUAGUUAAUGUCUUUGCUUUAAAUAUUUCUAAAUUGAAUUGUUUAUUGUUGUUGUUGUUGUUUUGUUUUGUUUGUUUUUGUUUGUUUUUUUUGUUUUUUUUUUGUUUUUUUUUUUUUUUUUCCUUUCCUUUUAAAAAAUAAAUAACAACAAACUUAAUCUAUUCUAUAGUGUUACACGAGAGAAUCAAAUCAACUAUAAUGUUACAUGAAAGAUGUAUGCUUUUGUAUGCACAUCUUUCAUGAAAAAUAAAACAAACAUUAUAAAACAAGUAUAUAUAUAUAUAUAUAUAUAUAUUCAUAAAAAUCAUUUUUUUGUAACUUAUAAAGUGAUUUAAUUUUUAAAAAUGUGAAAAUUUUAAUUAUAAAAUAUUAAAUAAUAUAAAUAAUAUAAAUACUAUAUACUUAUAUGAUAUUUUAGAAUAAAAAUAAAGGUAAGCAUUUAAGAGAAUUCAUAUAUAUAUAUAUAUAUAUAUAUAUAUAUAUAUACACAAUUUAAUUGUUGUUUAAAAUAUGUUUUUAAUGUUUAUCAUUCUAAUUUUUUUGAAUUAUUAUGAAUUUUUUCAACAAACUUUAACAAUUCUAAUGUAAAUUUUAAAUAUUCUUGAGUAAUUUCAAAGCUUCUUCAAAUUUUAAAUGAUAAGAAUUUAAACUUGUAUAACAAUAAUAUUUCUUUAAAUAAAGUUAUUAGUUGCUUUUGGAAUUAUUCUCAUUUUAAGAAUUCUAAUAUAGUUACAAGUUACAAACAUUAAUCUUAUUAGAGAGAAAAGAUAGCCACAUGUAUAUAUCAUCAACUAUUAAAAGCCAUGACACCUCGGUGUGCAUGCACCUUGCACUCUUCUUUAUCAUGUGAGACGAAGAAGGAUAAUCUAAAUUUGGACACUAUGGGGUCGUUGAUUUUUUAUUCAAUCGCGGGUCCCCGUUCGAUAGGCCCUGGGACCGGGUCUCGGAGGAGGGGCCAACCCGCGCCGCCUCCUCCUCCCUCCUUAGAUGCUGCUGAUCGUAUUUUGUGUGGCGAUCGAGCAACGUGAAUCGUUACGCUUCAAAAUCUUAUGGCCACUUGCUGAUUUUUUAGGUCAAGGGAGCAACAUUUUGGGGUGAGUAAGAAUGGCAGAAAUGGGUUGGCGCGAUCCGAUAGUUAGAGGCUGUUUUCGCGAGUCGUUAUGAGCUUUUGUGGCGAUUCCUCUCUGUGAAUUUCUAAACCCUAAACCAUUCAUUUCUCUAGCCAUGAUCCAUGACCACUUGCGCACCAUUUGUCGUCAGGGUCGUCAGUCCUUACCUUCGACAGAUGAGAUAAAAAGGGGGAAAGAUCACACACACACACACACACACACAAACCGUGUAUUCCGUGUACGAAGUGAGAUUAUUCGUAAGGGAAGAUGCGAGGAUGUUUGCAAGAGAACCUUUCCGUAGCUGAAUCUUGUCAAGGGUGAAUUCUCCGCACAGGAUGCGACUGAGAAGAUUUGACUCCCUGUGGUCAGCUGUGGAUGAACGUAGCCCUGUGGAUAGUGCAAGUCUCUUGAGCUCUCGUCAUUUGACUUCAGGAAACGUUUGUUUACUAGUUCGAGUCUUCGACAACACGAGCUCAUUUUAAGGUUGUCGCGAAGUGAACACUCAUCCUCCUAAAUGGGGCACGUUUCUUUCUAUUCAUAAUUUUCCCAAAUAAAGUCGAGUGCGUGGGUGAGUGUGGGCGUGAAUUUGCUGCGACCUCUGACUGUCCCUAUUGACGAUAUGAACGAAUAGAGGCACCGGCUGCAGACCACUACAGUGGUGGGAAAAUAUUUUUUUCUCGCUCGCACCAGUCUCCCGUUAGUGGAGAGUGAAAUAUCUGGGACCGAGGGAAGUGAAUUUUGGUUGUUCUGUAAGAUUGGAACAAAUGUGCAGUUGCUCUUCUUUUUUUCAGAAUAGGAAAUUCAUGGUCAUUUAGAGAUGGUUGUUAGUGAGUUAUAUAAGUUUGAUUGUUUGUCUACUAAUAAUUAAAGUUCAUUGAGUCCGCAGCCUUGUUGUGGACCCCGCAUUCCUGUACGCGAGCCAAUCAACAUUUUGCACAGCAAAUGUUCUGACGAACAACAUCUUCCAGGGAGGCGUGGAGAUCUGUAACACCAAGCCUGCCGGGUCUCCAGAGUGUCUGAUAGUUCAGGUCCUAAUUCACUUUUCUUCGAAUGGGGCAACGAGAAUCGGAAGAAUCUCAGUGCAUCGUCAUCCAUUGCCUUCAGUCUUCUCGUAGCCAACUGUUGCCAUCACGUUCGGUUUUUGUUGGCUUGUAUGUCAUUUUCCGUUUCUGCUACGGAAAGCCGCCCUUCGCGACUCGACUUGAGCAGUGGCGUUGGUUGUGUGCAUUCCGUCUUGAUUCAGCCGUGAAGUGAAUGUGAUUGUGCUCUGUCUAUCUCACGAGUGGUCGACUUCUGAAAAACGUGUUGACAAGAGCUUCUAUCAAGGCUAGGUACAGUAUUCACAAAUCCCAUGGAUGAUAUCAAUUUCACCCAUUUAACCUCCCCGCUCUCAGCAGGCAGUGGACUUUUUGUUUUCUUUCACUAGAGUGCGGAAACAUCUUAUGCUGCUUGUGACCUAAUUCGUUUGCUUGUCUGGUACACCAUCGCCUCGUUUCAACUUCGCUACUCCUCACUCUUCGGAAUGAGUGACAUUGAAGGCACUCUGGGUGAAUAUUUAUCGUAGCUGGCCGGCAAUGGUUCCUUGAGUUGCAGGUUUUGCUGGAUUUGUGGUCAGGGUUGUUAGUUGUGUUGAUGGGUUAAUUUCAUAACUAACAACAUCAACCCAUCAACACAACGAACAACCCUGACCACAAAUCCAACAAUUUUUUUCAGACAGGUCACGGCAUAGGUCAGGAUCACCGGAGAUUAUGGUGGUUAGUUUGAUUAUCUGAGACCGCAGAAGUCUUUCAGUAUCUUCAUAUGAAUCACUCGACUGACGCUGGGCGAGCUUUCGAUUCGUUUGUCUUUUAAACUUGAAUUCUGUCGGCCAAAGCUUGUGCUGUUAAUUUGAUUUAGAUUUGCCGGACAGAUUUAAAUGUUUAGAUAUUGCGCGGUGCAAGCCAGCAAUUGCGACGUGACGUAUCAUGGCAGACAAUAGGGAUUGGGCUUUGUGCGUCAAGGUCAAGACAAAUUACAAUUUCAUUAGCCAUAUGAAGUCGUGGAUCCAGUGUUCUCUCUCGUUGUAGUCGACAUGCAUUAAGGCUAGGAAUCUAAUUGAGGAACAUUCAAACCCUAUUCGUUGCAGCGAAUUAUUUCCACUCUAAAUGCCCGGAGUGGUUCUAACAAUCGCUUGUUUUUCUUUUUUCCACUGAACUCCCAAACCCUAAACCUGGCUUCGGGGGCCAUGUUGAGCUUGGGACGACUUCGCCAUCCCGACUUAACUUUGCACCCAUGCUGUGUACCUCAAUCCACAUUUACGACUUUUGCAGUCCCUACUGUAAUCAGAUUUUCACGUCACCAGGAAAUGCAUAUGAAGAAUUGG
rnacentral:lncRNA from 1 species